UUAAAUCCACUUUAAAAAAAGUCUAGGGGGUAAUAGGACCCCCGCAAAGUUCAGUAUGCUCAACUGCAAAUUCAGUCAAAGUUCAGGUAUUUUUCUGAGUAGUUUCCCAAGAUUUUAACUUGGUUGCUAAAACAUAAUCUGGUCUUCCAUUAAUAAUAAUGGAAUCCCACCAAACCUUAACUUUCUCAUUGAACCCUUCAGUUUCCAGCCACCAUCUUUCAAAUUUGAAAUAAGACUUAGUGUGUUCCCAACUGCUACUUUGAAGUGCAAUUGGUGUGUGAUCAAAAUAAAUUCUAGGAAGAAUGUCUUACUUAAUAUUCUUGAAAUGUUCUCCCCAUUCAACAGAGUAUAAGAACCUGUCAAUCCUGCAGGGUUUUCCAGGUUGUUCCCCCUAGUUCAGGUGUAACUUCUCCCAUCUAGUUGAGGAUCAAUCAACUCCAUAUCCUCAAUAAAAUCAAGAGCAAUUCUUUCUCUGAAGCAUAUCUAACAACAUUAAAAUCACCGCCUAUCACCCAAGGCCCUGUAAACAAACCUCUAACAGCCCCAAGUUCCCACCAUACUUCUUGUCUUUCCUCAUUAUGAUUUGGUGCAUAUACCCCCAUGUGCCAACUAAAAUCGUGACUUGUCGACUUGAAUCUACAAGUCAAUGUAUAAGCACCAACUUCCACUACUUCUCUUUCCCAAGUCUUGCUAUCCCACACUAUCAAAAUACCUCCCCUAGUUCCACUUGCCUCCAGUUGCCCAUACUUGACUCCCUUGUUUCCCCACACUUGCUUUAUUAGUUCCCUAGUAUCCCCUUCCAAUUUAGUUUCCUUUAAACAUAUGACAUUUGCUUUCCAUUUUUGAGCUAAACUAUGGAUCACCCCACUCUCCUUUUUAUCUCUACAAUUUAAUCCCCUCACAUUCCAUGAAAUUAUUUUGUCAUACCUAUGUUAUUUUAUUAUGUUCCAUGUUUUUUUUUAUAUAUAUACUGUCCUUUGUCUUGAGCCGAGGGUCUAUCGGAAACAACCUCUCUACUUCUUUAGAGGUAGUGGUAUGGACUGCACUCUACCCUCCCCAGACCCCACAAUGUGGGAAUAUACUGGGUUUGUUAUUGUUGUUGACAUUCCAUGAAAUUAUUUUGACAUUCAUCAUAACAUCCUAGAAUUUCCUUUCCCCCUAAUUCUCGCCCCCAUAGCUUGGAACUUCAUGUCUAUGGCCAACCCUUUCAAUUCUUGUAAGCCUUUAAUUUGGGAGUCUCCGUGACCCUUGUUUCUGAUUCUUUAAAAUUCGACUUCCUUCUACUAUCAAUCUUCUUGAAAAGGGCCAAAGCUUCCUUUCUGCAACCUUGAAAUUCAACCCAAAAUUCCUUGCUUAACCUGAUCAUAUUUUGGUGGACCCAAAUUGACCCAUCUAUCUCAUCAUCACUUCCCUCCUCUAGGUAUUCUGAGUUUAAAGGUUCAACAUCCUCAAUGUUCCAUGCCGCAUCAUCAGGGCAAUCAACCAAUUGCAUGUCUUGAUGGUCUUGAUUGACAUCAAUAUGUGCUUCUCCUUCUUUUAUAUUUGCCUUUGCAUCUACAUAAACUUUCCCUUCUUCUGUAUUUGAUUCUUUUGUUGGACUUGCUGGCUGAUUUUCUUUUGGGAUUUUUGAUACCAUGUCUCUGGAGCUACUGUCAAAAAAAAAAUAAUGUUUGUGCAAUUUGCUUCUAUUUCCGCUAGCAUUGGGUCUGCUUGUAAAGAGCACGUGACAUUUGCUUGGUUAGAAUUGAAGUGAUGGGCCCCAGUAAAUAAAACUGGGCCUUUAUUAAAACUAGCUCCUUUAAAACAACUAAAAAUUACACAAAUACACAACUUAUGUUUCCAAUAUUACAAAAAUCCUAACUCCAUAAACAUAUUACAAAAAUCUCAACAUAUACACAGAAUGUUACGUAUAUGUCGGCUAUGUUAUGUAUAUUAAUAGGGAGAGAAGGUAAAUUAAAAAAGUGGGAGAGAGUAAUUACUUCCAAAAGGGUUGUUAUUUAUGUUAUUUAUACUUAAACAAUUAGCUGAGCUUUUCUUUUGGCCCAUUAAGAGCCCAUUUCUUUUAAAAAACAAACCCUUCUCCAUGACACGUAUUGGUGGGCCCUUGCCAGCUAUUUUAUUUGAAAUGGGUACCUGAACUGAAGAACCCACGUGCCUCUCUCUAUCAAAGCAGAACCUAUUCUCUUUAACUGUGUAGGGUUUUUUGCCCGGUGGUCCUUAACCUGCAGAACUUCCUCCUCUCCGGCGACCACCAUAGUUCUAGACUCGCUCCAUAUCGGAAUUAAAAAAGUAAGACCAUUGUCGACUAUCUUUACCUCUUUUGGAACUUCUUUUCCAUCUCCUUUGAUUCUCAUUCGCGCCCACUUCAAAUGGUGGUUUUUCAGGGAUGCCUCUUCCUCUGUUUCCAACCAUCCUCCACAAUGAUCUCCGAUGCUUUGAACAUUUUUUUGGUCCAAAACUGAAGAGGAAGACCUACUGCUCUUAUCCACGUUGAGGCCUCUCGAUUGGUGCGACAGCCUACUGUCGGCGACCACUAUUCGAGAUGACUCUUCGUUUGCUUCCAUGCCCACUGACUUUGAAGAAUAUGCUCGGCCAUAUGCUUGUUUGGAAACUCAAACAGAAAAGAACAGCCCCCCAUUUCGUAUACAUUAAUCCCAAAAGCAUUCUUCCAAGUACUCACCUCCCACUUCCUAAUAUCUGACAGUGUUGGUUUCUCCUUCUCUUCUCCACUGAAGCUUCCAACAAUACAUCUUCCCCGCAAGCCAUUUUCUUUUUCCUGGUUAACAUCACCGCCAGAGAUGAUGAUAGAGAUGUUGUUGUUGCUGACCAGAGAUUCAGAGGCUUCUUUUGAUUGCCAUUUGCUAGUCCUGAAUGAAUCUGCACAAGGAACCUUUGGAUCAAUCCUCCUAGCAAUAUUUGUAUUAAAUGUUCCUUUAUGUUUUUUGGCGAAUUAUCAAUCUUAAAUGCUAUGUCUCCCCAUCCUGCAUUAAAUGUAACUUCUGGGAUAAUAAUGACCGAUCUGUUCCCUCCUUGUACUGUCACUAUGCUUAUAAAUCUUCCAAAUUUGUUGUGUUUUCUGGAACAAAAGAAAUUUGAAUAUUGUUCAUUUGUUUUCCACCUUCUCGUAUGGUUGCUAGAGUCUUUUGAGGCUUCUCGUAAUACAAAGACUAUCCAUUCCAUUGUUUUCUUGCUGAAAGUUGUUCUGCGCAUCAGAUUCCGGCUUCUUUCAACCCAUUCAAACCAAAUUUCAGCUCUGGCUGCAAGCCUGGUGAUAUCGUAAGACUUAAAACCAACUGCGAAGUAGAUUCUAUUUUCCCCCAUAAAAGCUGCGCUGUUUUUAAAUAAUCACUGAGAGCUAGUUAAGAUUAGCAAAACGAACGGAAAAGGACGCCGGAAUAAAACUUCAGAUCACCUGAGGAAAAGAGUUACCCCCUCCCCCUCGAGAAAUGUACUUGAACAUCUACUGGAAUCUGACUCUGGAAUAUUAAAAGAAGUAUUGAGCCAUCUGACUCUGGAAUAGACCCCAAAGCAACCAAAAAAAACCCAUAGUUUCUCAGGAACGGGUAAAUAUAAACUGGUUCAUUCCUUUUCAAUAAAGAAAGAAUCAGGUUUAUUAAAUCUUUUUUGUGUUCAACAGCCAAUAUUUCAACAGAUAAAUGGCAGGCUCCAGUCAACAGUCGAAAUGAUAAAAACUUGACAAAUAGAAAGGUCUUACCAAUUUUUUCCACAACAUCCUCAGUCUCCCUGAUCCCUGCAGUAUCAAGAAGUGUAACAGGAACACCACGAACAGAAACAUUGGCUUCUACAACAUCCCGUGUGGUACCAGCAAUAUUUGUAACUAUUGCUCUAUCAGUCUGCACGCUAAUAUAAGGCACGUGAUUAGAAAUGAACGCCAGUAAGAUAAUAACACAGGAACCAGACACUUGAGACGAGAGAUUCUAAAGAAUGGGGGGUGUGAGCUAAAUGACUAUAUUUUGAAGAAAUAAUUUGCCGUGAAAAACAUUUUAUAUGUUUCCUUUUGGUCUUGUUACUAGCAGCAGUAGGAGUUUGAUAGAGUAAAGAUCAACAAUCAUGUUUAUAUGUUAUACUUGUCAAGGAAACUAAUUUGACUGUUAAGGACAAGUUAUUUCAUAUUAUGUGACAAUUAAAGUAGACAAUUAUAAAUUAUGGGAUUGAAAUGGCUCAUUAUUUUUAUCAAAACUGACAUGUAGUUGCAGGAUUGGGAAGAAAAUCUGAACGGUGGCUUGUAGAUAAAUUCACUGUGACAAAUUGAAUCUAGCAUGACCUAUUGCAACUAGUGAUUCAGCCACACUAUAUACUGUUACGAUUCAAGGAUUGAGUCACAAGACGAUUAACAGGAAAAUCAAAAUCAAUUGCCUUUGACUUCCCCUAGCUUUUGUUAUUAGAAUUCCUAGAACGACCUAUUUUGUAUAAAGAUAUUUGAUAUACAAAUUCAGCUCGUUAAAAGGGAGGCUAAAACCUUAGCGUUCAGUGAGAGAACUCCGAUCUCUUGAUUCUGGUUGAAAUUCUGCUUAAGUUUUAUUCCACAAAACUCUCCUUAACUAGGAGUCUUUAUUACAACAAAUAGGAAGCCUAAUCCUUACAAAACUAGAAAACACAAAACCCUAUUCUAGACUAAUAAUGACAGCUAGCAUGAAUCCUAUUUUACAAUAAUAAAUAAAGCUAUUAAUAAUAAAAUUAAUCUCUUAAUUUACUAUCCUUCCUGUGGGCAUAUGUCUUGCCCACAAAGGCAUCCACAACAUUACCCCCUCAUGUUGAAAGGGCUUGUCCUCAAGCUCGAACGAUGGAUAAACCUGUCGAAAAGAGUCUACAUCCUCCCAUGUAGCUUCUUCCGAUGGCAUACCUGACCAUUGUAUAAGAAUCUCCUUUGUACCACGAUUGACACGAGCUCUAAUGACUCCGGCAGGCAAAGGAACUACUCGACCAUCCUCCAGCGGUGGAAGCUCUGUAAUAGGUGGAAGGUGUUCACCUUUGAAUGACUUUAAAAGGGAAACAUGAAAAACGUUAUGAAUUCGACUGUCGCUUGGCAAAUCCAACGCCAUAUGCAACCUGUCCAAUUCGACUUAAGAUCGGAAAUAGACCAUAAAAUUUGGGGGACAACUUAUUGUAAAUACUCAAUCGAGUGGAGCGUUGUCUAUAGGGAUGUAAAUGAAGCCAAACAAGUGUCCCUGGAACAAAUUCUACAUCAAGAUGACCCUUAUCAUAAUAUUCCUUCAUUCAUUGUUGGGUUGCCUAUCACCAAUUCGGGUAUCAUCCAAAAUGUUAUCACGAUCCAACAAUGCACUCUCAACAGCUUUACCCGACAUGUCCCUGGUACAUAUGAAAGCAAACGGAGUGGGUCACGGCCAAAAACAACCCUAAAGGGUGUGGUCUGCAAUGUCGAAUGAAAAGAUGUGUUGUAACAAAAUUCUGCCCAUAGAACCCAAUCAACCCACUUUCGAGGAUAAUCAACAACAAAGCAAUGAAGAUACAUCUCCAAAGUACCGCUAACGACCUCCAUCUGGCCAUCUAUUUUCAAUGGUAAGCAGAGGAGAAUUGUAAUUUAGCACCAUUCAAGCGAAAAAGUUCCUUCCAAAAAGUGUUACUAAAAAACACAUCUCUAUCAUAAGUAAUCGUUCCCUGUAUCCCAUGUAAGAGAACAAUUUGAUCAAAGAAUGCCUAAGCCACUCAUGUAGCCAUGUAUGGAUGAGCCAAUGGUAUAAAAUGAGCAUAUUAUGAGAACCUAUCUACUACUACAAACGAAACCGACUUUCCCCAAGACUUGGGUAAGCCAUCUAUAAAAUUCAUUGAGAUGUCUGCCCAGAUCUGAGUCGAUAGCUGGAGAGGUUGUAAUAAUCCUGCAAGACUUAAAUGUUCUCAUUUAUUGCGUUGACACACCGGGCAAGCAGCAACAUAUGUGGCAAUGUCAGUUUUCAUACCUUUCCAUACCUUUCCAAUAAAAAUCCCCACAAAUUUGAUGCAAUGUUUUGUGUAUCCCUUCAUGCGCACUAUCAUGAUCGGUGGAUAGUACAGUAGGUAGCAAAGGGGAAUUUUGUAGAAGGUAGAUGUGACCUUUAAACAAAAGUAACCCAUCCUGAACUUUCCAAUCCGAACUCAAUUCUCCUAGCUUGACCUUAUUACAUAAAUCCAAUAGUUCUGCCGAUCUCGUAAUCUCUUCACGGAUUGUGUCCAGUAAUGUGCUACGAGGGUAGCUAAUAGCAUUCAAAGAAGGAUCCUCAUGUGUAGUUCUCGAUAAAGCAUUCGCAAUUUUAUUGAGAUAACCAUCCCGGUAGACCACUCUGAAGUCGUAACCCAUGAGGUUUCUCAACCAGUGUUGUUAAGGGGGUGUAGUAAGCCGUUGUUCUAGCAAGUAUUUCAGGUUGUAAUGAUCCGUUCGAAUAAGAAAGGGGUGCCCCCACAAGUAUAGCUGCCAAUGCUGGACUGCUUUUGCAAGGCCAAAUAGCUCCCUUUCAUAUGCAGCUAAUUUUUGGUGACGAGCUGCCAACUGCCAGCUAAAAAAUGCUAUGGGCUGACCGCCCUGUUACAAAACAGCACCUACACCACCUCCUGAAACAUCACAUUCUACAAUGAAAUUCAAACUAAAUUCAGGCAACCUCAGUACUGGAGCAGAGGAUAGUGCUAGCUGCAGCUUCUAGAAUGCAGCUAGGGUCGAGUCGUUCCACAGGAGUUUUGCUUAAGUAGACUAGUCAAGGGUGCUGCCAAUUGUCCAUAGUCACGAAUAAAUUUGCGGUAGUAACCCACCAAUCCCAAGAAUCAACAAAGAGAGGUAAUUGACCGAGGUUGAGACCAGUCUAAAAUUGCAUGUGCUUUGCUUCUAUCUACCUCCACACCUGUAGCUAAAAUAAUAUGCCCCAAAUAAGCUACUUGACUUGUACCAAAGCAACAUUUAGAUUGUUUCAAAUAUAGUCUAUGCGCAAGCAAUAACAGAAACACCUUUCUCACGUGAACCAAAUGCUCCUCCCAACCACUACUAUGAAUUAAGAUAUCAUCAAGGAAAACCAACACAAAUUGAGGUAAAUAUUCAUGAAAAAACUUAUUCAUUAAAGCUUGAAAAGUGGAUGGGGAAUUAGUGAGCCCAAACGGCAUGACAAGGAACUCAAAGUGCCCAUGAUGAGCCUGAAAGGCCGUCUUUUUUCCACAUCUGUAGGAGACCUGCGGACUUGAUAGUAUCCAGACUUCAAGUCCAAUUUAGUAAAGUACUUGGCCCCGUAUAACUCGUCAAAUAUCUCGUCCACAACCGGAAUUGGGAACUUGUCCUUUUAUUGUUUUAGCAUUCAAUUCACGAUAAUCAAUACAAAGGCGCCAAGAUCCGUCUUGCUUGGAUACCAAUAACACAGGUGAAGAAAAAGGGGACUUGCUUGGUCGUAUAUAUCCUUGCUGCAACAUCUGGUUACAUUGCUUCUCAAUCUCAUCAUUUUGUCGAUGAGGGUAUCGAUAAGGACGAACAACUACAGGUGGACCCAGGCAGCAAACUGAUGCGGUGGUCACAUUGUCGCAAUGGUGGUAAACUCGUAGGUUCCUGGAAAAAAUCAUCGAACUUGGUCAAAAGGUAUUCCAAUUGUUGCUCUCCGUAGUUGCCUUUCCUGACAGGUGCAAAACCUUAUCGCAAUAUUAUUGUUGUCCCUGAAGCAAAAUUGAUUUACCUUCCAACGAAAAACUCAUAGUAAAUUCUGCAAAAUCCCAAAGUAUUGGACCCAAGGUUUGUAACCACUUAACUCCCAGAACAAUAUCAAACCUGUCCAAUGGAAUAACAUAAAAAUUUGCAAUAAAGCAAUGGUCACUAAUGGAAAUUGUUACCCGUGUGCAGACUCCCGAGCAAGGAACCUUCUCUCCAUUAGCAAUGGAGAUUCUAAAGUUGUGCAAGGAGAAAAAAUCAAGGAGUAAUCGACUAGCAGCAGUAGAACUUAUAAGUUAUGGGUACUUCCAGAAUCAAUAAGACUGAGCACAUGUUGUCCGUUAAUGAUUGUAGGCAAUUGCAUAGUCUGUGCAUGUCUUUGACCUGUAAUAGCAUGUAAAGAAAUUUUUGGGUAGUCCUCCAGAACAUUUGGUAUCGUGUCAUCAACCGAAUCAUCCAAUUCCAGCUAGAAAAGUCGUUUGCACUGGUGAGUGGAUCAAUAUUGUUCGUCACAAUUAUAACAUAAUCCCUUAGCUCUUCUCUCUGCCAACUCUGUCUGAGUUAAUCGCUUGACAAAAAGGGUUUGGUUGCCUGUAUGGGUACUAGAGGUAGAUUAACCAACUAAACUAGUAGCAGACUUUGAUGAGUUUACCAUGCUGCCAAGACUUGUUGGGGACUACUGCCAUGCCACCAAGCAAAUAUUACUGGCGAAUAUUACGACUGACUUUCUGCAAUUGUUGUUUCUGUUCUAAAACCGGGCUAAACUCAUAGUUGCUGAUAAGUAAGGUGGUUUGAGAAGUUGCACGUCCAUUUUGAUUGAAUCAUCCAACCCGGCCAUAAAUAUUCCCACGUGCAAGUGUUCUAGAAUAAGCUCAUUAGCCCUAGCCAGCUUUUCUUGAAACUGAUGUUGAUAAGCUUCAACUGUACUAGUUUGCCGAAGCGCGACCAAUUCGCCCAUCGAAUUGCUACUUUCAAGAGGUCCAAAUCGCUGGAAACAAUGUUGUUGAAAUUCUUCCCAAGUCAUUAGGCCCUUCGCUCGUUUAAAUAAUAACAUAAUUGUGUUUCACCCAACAUGUGAAACCAGCCACUCCAACCUUUUCUGCUUCGAUUGUGUGUUGAUUUUCAAAAAAUUGUUUGCAACGAUACGUCCAAAUUAAUGGGUCAUCGGUACCGUCAUAAGUAGGAAAAUCCAUCCUUGCAUACAUUGGUAUUGUUGAAUGGGAAUUACCACUUGUUUGAUGAUUCUGGUCGCCCAUAAUUUGAAUAGGCAGAAUAUUGCCUUUAGUAGCAUAAUUUGUUGAUUUCCCAAUCGUCGGGGCGCUACUCGACACAGUUCCAUAAGUUGUUGGUUUUGUGGAUCCAAUUCCCAAGCUCGAAAAUUGUUCUUGGAUGACUUGAAUAAUUGUUUCACCGAGACGUCGUUCCAUAGUUGCAAUUUUCGAGUCUAUUAGGGAUUCAGUAAUCUCAUGUUCUUCUUGGAAUCCAGAAUUGAUCUCAUCGUCCAUUGUGAAAGACUCUGGUACCAAAUUGUUACUAUUCCUUGCAAACGCUCGAGUCACAGGACAAUCAACUAGAAAAUCUAAAUCAAUUCCCUUUGACUUCCCCUUGUUUUUGUUAGAAUUCCUAGAACGACCUAUUUUGUAUAACAAUAUUUGAUAUAUAAAUUCAGUUCGUUAAAAGGGAGACUGAAACCUAAGAGUUUAGUGGGAGAGAACUCCGAUCUCUUGAUUCUGGUUGAAAUUCUGCAUCAAUUUUAUUCCACAAAUCUCUCCUUAAAAGAGGAGUCUUUAUUACAGCAAAUAGGAAGCCUAAUCCUUACAAAACUAGGAAACACAAAACCUUAUUCUAGACUAAUAACAACACCUAGCAUGAAUCCUAUUUUAGAAUAAUAAAUAAAGCCACUAAUAAUAAAAUUAAUCUCUUAAUUUAAUUGUCCUUCCAGCGGGCAUAUGUCUUGCCUACAAACGCAUCCACAACAUAUACUUUCUAUACCAAAAGGAACAAUUUGAUCUUUAGCAAAAAGCAAAGUGAUGAAAGUGUUCUUCAACGAAUCCCCCGAAAUGUUUCAACUAGAGCUAAGGGUGCAAGUCACAUCCUAUGCAAAUUAUAAGAACUGGGAGCUGGCUAUUGCAUGGAACUUCUUAGUAUAAGUUUCCAGUUACAGGUGGGAUUUCUAUUUACUAAUCUACAUUUUGUUUCAGAUUUAGUUGCUGAUUUUUAAAAGUCUAUGCCACUGUUAAGAGAACUAGUGUUAACUAUUCAGCAAAAUAACAAGCACAAGGAUCAAGGAUGAGAUGGUAAAUAAUGGGUAAUUGUUGGAACAUACUUUGCUCCAUGCAUUAAGAAGGCUUGAUUUCCCAACAUUUGGUCGACCAACAAUUGCAAUCUGCAAGAUAUUCAUUACAAAUCAUGUUUUCUUAAUUAUUUGUUGCAAGGAGGGAAACAUGAAAAAAAAUUAUUCAUUGGACAGCCAGCUAAACAGCUAGAUGUACUUUAAGCUAUUCUCAAGUUCAAUGACAAAUUUAAGACGUGUCUGUUGUUUCUUUCUCCUUUUUGCUUUAAUAAUUAGUUCUCAGGAAAAUAUCAACUAGCCUUGUACAAGAACUUGGUCAGUCUUAGUGCAAUAUAAAACCUGUAGUCCUGACUGCAGAAGCUUGUCAUAGUUGGCAGUUUCCAAUGCAUUAUCCAGAUCAUGCAGCAUCUCAUAUAUUUUGUCCAUAAUUAGAUUCAGAUCAAGGGGUGGCAUCUCAUCGUCGAAGUCAAGACGAGCCUCAAUUUCGGUUAGCAACUCCAUACACUGAGAUCUUAGUGAUUUGACCAAAGAAGAAAAACCACCCUGACAAAAGGAACACAUCAUUCAGCAUCAUUCCCCAGCAUUAACAUAAAAUCCAGACAAAAUAAAACCUAGUGCUGUAUUUGUACCCUUAUUGAUGUAUCGAAGGGUCAACAAAUCUUUUCUUUUAGAAGGGUCAACAAAUAUUGUAAUUACAAAGUGAUUUUAUAUAGAUGACCACCUCGAUUCCUGCCAAUGCAGCAUCUGCAGCAGCCACUGACUUGGCUGAUAUCAACUUUUCCACAUUCUCAGCUUGAGAAAGAUCCAAACGACCAUUUAAGAAAGCGCGGAGAGUGAACUCGCCUAGUAAAAGUGAGAACAUAAAAAGUGGUGAGUUGGAGUAGAAAGACACUCACCUAUUUUAUGGUUAAACAAAAAAAAAAAGUGACAGUUGCUGUGAAUUGGCCUAGGAACUAAAGCUUUGACAAGUUAAUGCAAUGAAACUAUAGAACGUUGUUCAGACAAAUGAAUCUUCAAAAGAGUUUUCAAACUAUAGAGACCAAUUCUCAUAAAAACCUUAGCUGCUUUAGGUUCUAGACAUUAAAAGAGUCAAUUAAAAAAUACAAGGAUGAAAAUGAAACUAACCUGGCUCCGCGAGCUUUGCACCAGCCUCCAGGCAAGCCCUCAAAACACGUUGAAGACACACUUCAUUUCCAUGACACUGAAGCUCUAUCACAUCUUCUCUAGUGUAUGACUUUGGGGCCAGCAUAGGAAGCACCAGAACCUAAGCAUGAAAAAUAAAAGAAAAGGAAUUCAGAGAGAAAGAGAGAGCAGAAGAAGAAGAGUAAAAAUAUUGAAACUAUUAUCCAUGACUUCCAACAUAUUAAUUACUUUAGUGUCUCUUUAUCUUCAGGGUAAAGACAUGAACAUAUGUUGCCACUAGGAAUGCCCUGAAUGAACUCUCUUACAUUGUAUAGACACUUUCCCUCACCUUAUCCACAGGGUUGUAAUAGAAUUAAAGGGACACCCGAUUCCCCACAGCUAUGAACUUAAUAAGAACACAUAAAGGUACUAGAAAUCGUAAGGAGACGUCGCAAGGCUAAAUUCAGAUAUGAAGCAACAAAGUUACUAAACUCUUAAAAUCUCCAAUGUAGUACAAUUCACAUGUCAAAACUAAAGAACAAAUGCACCAACAAGAAGGGAAAAUUUAGAGUUUCAAAUUAUACCUCAUCAAUCACAUUUCCAUGAGAGUCAGAGACAAGACCAUACUCCACAACAUGGCUCUUAGGCCUCCACUCAGAAGAACUCCUGUUCUUCUUUUUCACUUUUGGAUGAAACACACGACCAACUAUAGGCACCGCAGAUGGACCAGAUAAACGUAUAAUCCCAACUGCAGCUGCUGGACCACCCAAAGAAGUGACAAUAGCAGCAAUAGUGCUAGCAUUCACAGCUGGGUCAAGAGGGCUCACAGUACCAAACCCCAAUAACCUCUCAUCUUGCUUCAGCACCAGAGUACUACUCUCUGCAAUAAAAAAUAUUGAAACUUCAGCAUUAAAACUAAGAUUUACAGCACCAGAGUGGUCUAUACAAUAAAAGAAGAAUUGAAACAUUAGCAUUAAACCCCAAUUCUUUUACAACCACAUUAUUCUCUCCAAUAAAAAGAUUGAAAAUUUUGCAGUAAAAAAACAAUCUUUCAGCACCAAACUAUUCUCUGCAAAAGUAAGACUGAAGUUUUAGCAUUAAAACCCUUUUUUUCAAGUAAUAGAGAACUCUCUGCAAUAAAAAUACUGAUUCUUUAGCUUUAAAAACAAUUGUUUCAGUUACAAAAGUAUUCUCUGCAAUAGUAAGUUUGAAAUUUUAGAAUUAAAAAUCAAUUAUUUCAGCACUAGAGUAUUACUCCCUCCAUUGCAAAGUACUAAUCACAAUUUCUUUUUUGAGACUCAAACUUUGACCAAAAUUUUAAGAUGUAUUUUUUCAUCAUAUUGAUAAAGAAAAAAGUUACAAUAUAUAGUACUUUCCGUAUAGCUUUUGAAUAUCUAAAUUUUACUUUCAAAAUAUCGAAUCAAUCUAAUCUAAUUUAGCUUUGAAAAUUAGUCAAAUUGACUCUCGAUAAGCGACCAGUGACAACUAUUUUGGUUUGAGGGAGUGUAUGCAAUAAAAAUAUUGAAUAUUUAGCAUUGAAAAACAAUUCUUUCAACACUAGAGUACUAUAUUCAAUGAAUAGAUUGAAACAAUAGCACUAAAAAUUAAUUCUUUCAGCACUAGUGUACUAUAUGCAAUAAAAAUACUGUAUCUUUAGCACUAAAAACAAUUCUUUAAACACUAGAGUGCUCUCUUCAAUGAAUAAAUUGAAGCAUUAACAUUUGGUACUAGGGAUAAGGAUAACUAAUCGCGGGAUUAAUUUUAUCAUAAGCUUGUACUAAAACAAGUUAUUUAAAGGAAUAAAAGGGGUAGGUAGAAAAUGAAGGAAGCUGAUUACCUUUAGAAGUAGCAUGAGGUAUGGUAGUGAGUUGGGAAGAAGAAAGAGGGAAAAGAGAAGAGAGUUUCGUGUGAAUUGAGAUUGACAAUUUAGGGAAGAAGGAAAAGGCUGCUAUGGAAGUGGGAAAAGGGGGACGUAGGUGGCUGAGAAGGAGAUGGCGGAACAUAGGAAGCAUAGCCAUUACUCAUUUGUGGCUUUGGGUUUUAGGAUUUGGGUUAAACACACUCGAGAAAAUUAGUUAGAAGUAUGGUGUGCAGAUAAUACCGUCAAGUUAAAUCGAAUCGAUGAAUCAAAUUGAGAAAAAAAAUUGACUUAUCAUUUGAUUUGAUUGAUUUGGUAUUAGAAAAAAACUGAUCAUUCUUGGUUUGAUUUAGUGUUAACCCAAAAAAAGUCAAAUCGAACCCGAAUCAAACCGACAUAAUAUAUAUUAUAUAUUAUAUUCAAACUUUUUUAUACAUAAAAUAUUAAUUAUAGUCUACUUUUUAAAUACUUUUUCAACUAGUUUUAGUAAUUUUUAAUAAUUUGAAAGUAGAUGUAGAUAUAUAUUUAGAUUUGGGUCUUUAAGUUGUAAUAUUUAUCCAUUAAUUGCUAACUAAAUGAUCGAAAAUCCAAAAUAAACCUAAAACCUAAACUUUUCACUCUUCAUCUCACUUUUUAGUUUCAAGAAAGUUUUUCGCUCCUCAUUUUUUCAUAAUUAUGGUUUUUCAUUAGCACAUGAGUGAAAACAUAUUUGAUCUAAUCUUCGAUCACAAUAUAAUUGCAAAAACUAAAGAUUAUAAAAAAAAUAAAAAAAUCGACUAAAACCUAAUCCAAAAAACAAACCAAUUGUAUGUUGGUUUGAUUUGAUUUAUAGUUUAAUAAACCGACAUGAUUGGUUUGUUUGUUUUUUUAGAUAAAAAAUCGAACCAACCCGACCUAUGUACACCCUUAGUUAGGAGGUGACAAAAAAGUAUUUCGAUUAAAAAUGGUUACAACUUUGACAAGUUAAGGUCAAAACUUCAUUUAAAAUUUUGAUUAAGUUAAUUAAGGUAUAAAAUGUAAUUUUUAGAAAGUCCUCCGACUCUAAAUUUCAAAUUUUAGAAUUUUCCCUCUUUUCUUAUCUUUCAAUUUUUUUUUCUUUCUCCCUCCAAAUUUCUUUCUCCUCAUUUCUUCUUGUUAUUUUUUUCUCUCUCUAGAUUUUCCUUUUAUUCCAUCUUCUCUUUUUUUUUUCCUCUUCUCAUUUCGUUCUUCUUCCUUUUAUAAUCUUUAUAGACUAUUUAAAAAAAAAAAUGAGAAGUUUGAAAGGAAAAUUUUUGAUUUCUUUUAAAUUAGCAAAUUCAACAACUACAAGAGUUGCUUCAGCAACUGCCAUAGUUGCUACAGUAGUUACGGUAAUUACUGCAACAACUACUAUUAGUUGUUGUAUUACAGCAACUUCGGUACUUAUUUAAUUUCUGAAAAAAGAUGUGAUUGGAGGAGGAUCCUACGAAAAGUGAUAUUUAUGAUAAAAAGGGAGGGGGGUGCUGGUGGUGACGUCGAAUGAGAAAAUGACAUUUAUUGCGGUGUUGAUAGCGACGGUGGUAGAGGAGAAAGAAGAAAAAUAGACGAUAGUUAUAUAGAGGGAGGAAACAAUGGUAAAUCUAAAAAAGAUGGCAAUGGUAGUACCAGUGAUAGUGGAGGAGGUGGUGGCAACAAAAAGGGUAUGGAGGAGGAGUGGUGGUGAUGGUGUAAGGAUCUUUGUGUAAAUAUAGUGUAGAAAUCUUUCUAUAAAUAAUAAAACUUGUUGGUUUUAAAAUUAAUGUCAUUAAUAUCAAUCUUAAAAUUGUCACCUCUACUCAAUAUUUAAGACUUGUGUCACUUUUUUUUAGUUUUGAAACUUUUUAUCACCCUUAAUUAAUUUGCCCCACUCACCUUUAAUUAAUUUGCUCAACACACUCUCCUUUGUGUUUUCUUCAUUCAUGAAAUCUGCAAACUAAGGGGUCGUUUGGUUUGAAAACAAGUUAUACUGAGAUUAGUUAUGCUGGGAUUAGUUGUCCGAAAUAAGUUAACUGGUAUUAUUUUUUAGUGGGUGUUUGGUUUGUGGUACUAAAAAUAAUAUGCAGUGCAUUGUUUAUAAAAAUAUAUUGUUUGUUUACAAAAAUACCCCUCACUUUAGUUAAUUUAUUAAUUAUUUUUAUGUUUGUAUUCCUAUGAUUUUUCUAUGUGUUCAAUUAUGUGCCAAUAUAUAAGAUUUAAAACAAAUAAGAUUUCAUGCCAUCCGACAGAUAUUUCUAUUGUCAAAAGCAAACUUCAGUUUUGAACCAAAAGAUGUUGGUGUGUUUUCUAAAUGAAAAAUGCUACAGGGAUAAAGUUAGUCGCCGAAUGUCAGUCUACCAGCAGAGUGAAGAAGAAAAUGAUAAGCAGAUCACAACGAAUGGCCACUAAUAUGAUUAUUAUUUCUAAAACUUGAGCUCAUGUAUUUGAAAAUUAGAUUAAGAAGAAAAAAAUUAUAUUUGAAAACUAGAAAAACUAGAUAAAAAAUAUAAAAAGUGAAAAUCAAAGGGUUUGGGGGUAGUUUUGUCAUUUUAUAAUUUUAUCCAAGGAUAAAUUAGGGUGGGAUAACUUAUACCACCAAAUUUAUGGGAUAACUUAUCUUGGUAUUGUUAUUAGUCUCAGGAUAAGCUAUCCCGAAUAUUACCAAUCAAACGAUGCAUUAAAAAGUUUACUUCGGGACUAUUAUUUCAUUCCAAAAUUAUUUGCUCUAAUACCUCACACCAAACUACCCUUGAGUGAUACGGGAAAACCAAGGAACUCACGAAAUGACUCAAAAUAGUCCACAAAACACACUCCAAAUCAGUCUACAAUCUUAAGGAUCCAAGGACGAAGAUGGAGACCACUCUCGGAUUCGCUAUCAACAAGAAGAAUACAAGAUACAAUGGUGUAUAUAACACCAAAAAUAGCUACAAAAUGUGAGGAACAAGAUGAAUAACAAUAAAGCAAGUUUCAGAUUUAAUAAAGGACCCAAAACAGUCCACUACACAAGAUAACAACAACAAAAGUAAAUGAUAGAUAGUGAAACCAAGAUUAUUACAAGAUUAAGAACUAAAGAGUGUAUUAAACUCAAAAACCCCUAAUAAAUGUAAUGAUAAAAAUCACACUCUUACGGUGACCGCCAAGGAAAUCAACUCACCUCAAGAUCUACCGUUUCUAAGCAAAGAACAAUAUUGGCUUUUCUAAGCCCUAAUUAAGAUUACACUAAGUUGGUCUACUCUCAAGAGAGAGGAUUUUCAAGUGUUUCAAAUUAUCAUCUUUCAAAACUAAUGAAAAUAAGAAUAAAGGAGCCUAUUUAUAAUCUAUUACAAAAUAAACACAAAAUGACUCCAAUGCCCUUAAUGAGGAGGGAUGGUUAUGGAGUGUCAUUUGGACAAAGAUAAGUGACCAAAAUGCCCUUCAAUCAAGGGAACCAAAACUGUGAACCAACAAGGUGGUACAAACCCGAGAGUACUUAAGUCUUCAAGUCUCCAAGCAAUCUUCCACACUCGGGUUUGAUUAAUGGUAGGCUCAAAACGUCCCCUCCAAGUAUGAUCUCGUGGCCUCCAUGUGACCAAAGCUUGAUUCUUCACAUAGUGACUUUGAAUGAUGUCGUUGAAAGCUAAGGUGGCUAUUAUUCUCGCAUCAUUAAGUAUCAAAGUAAUCUUAAGCUUUGAUACCAAAUGAUACGAGAAAGACAACGGAAGCACGAAACACACUCCAAAUCAGUCCGUAAUCUUAAGGAUCCGUAGACCAAGAUGGAGACCACUCUCGGAUUCGCUAUUAACAAGAAGAAUACAAGAUACAAUGGUGUAUGUAACACCAAAAACAGCUACAAAACGUAAGGAAUAAGAUAAAUAACAAUAACACAAGUUUCAGAUUCAAUAAAGGACUUAAAAUAGUCCACUACACAAGAUAAUAACAACAAAAGUAAAGGAUAGAUAGUGAGACCAAGAUUAUUACAAGAUUAAGAACUAAAUAGUGUAUUAAACUCAAAAACCCCUAAUGAAUGUAAUAAUCAAAACCACACUCUUACGGUGACCGCCAAGGGAAUCAACUCACCUCAAGAUCCACCGUUUCCAAGCAAAGAUCAAUACUAACUUUUCCAAACCAUAACUAAGACUAACUGUUCUACUCUCAAGAGAGAGGGUUUUUAAUGUUUCAAUAUUUCAUCUUUCAUAAACUAAUGAAAAUAAGACUAAAGGAGCCUAUUUAUAAUCUAUUACAAAAUGAACACAAAAUAACUUCAAUGCCCUUAUUGAGGAGGGAUGGUCAUGGAGUGUCACUUGGACAAAGAUAAGUGACCAAAAUGUCCUUUAAUCAAGAGAACCAAAACCGUGAACCAACAAGGUGGUUUAAACCUGAGAGUACUUAAGUCUUCAAGUCUCCAAGCAAUCUUCCACACUCGGAUUUGAUUAAUGGUAGGCUCAAAAUGUCCCCUCCAAGUAUGAUCCCGUGCCCUCCAUGCGACCAAAGCUUGAUUCUUCACAUAGUGACUUUGAAUGAUGUCGUCGAAAGCUAAGGUGACUAUUAUUCUCGUAUCACUAAGGGUUCCUUAUUUCAUGAGAAUAGUGCAAAGUAUAAUGUCAUAGUAAUAUGUGUAUUUAUUUUAUAUAGUAUUUAAUUUGGUGUAUUAAAAAUAGAGAAAAUACAUCAUUCCCUCCCCCUCCCCCCUCCCCCCCGAAACUUGUAGCCAAAACUUACUUUAGCACUUUAACUUAACUUAUAAUUAUUACCCCCUUAACAACUUUUAAGUGAAUUACUUUUAACUUCAAAUUCAAAAUUCCACUCUCGCAACGGAGAGUGCACUACACACGCGUCAUGUCAUCGCCAAAUCAGCGCCACGUUAUUGCCACAUCAUUGCCACGUAAGAAAUUAUAAUUUGUUUUAAAAAAAUAAUUCCACACACAUACUUUUUAUAUUUUUUUUAAAAGAAAAAAAUAUAUAUAGUAUUUUUAUCUUUAUAUAAAAUAUAUAUAUUUAUAAAAAAUAUACUAUUUUAAAUAUCUCUCUCUCUCUCUCUCUCUAUAUAUAUAUGUAUAUAUAUUUUAAAGUGUAUAUUUUAUAAAAAUAUAUAUUUUAUAUAAAUAAAAUAGACCAUUUCAACCAUUGAUGAUGAUGAUCCUCUACAAUCAAUCAAGAAAAAAUUCAAAAUAAGUUCACUUUCUAGUUCCAAGAAUUAAACUAAGCUCAUCAAAUCCACAAGCUCUUCCAAGAAUCAAACCAAAUUAACUAAGAUUUCUUCUUCUUCCUCUGAUUUUGGUACAAUCCACAAUCAAAUCAAGCUAGCAAAAAUGAAAUUCUCUUUGUCUGAUUCAAUUUUUAGUUCAACCAAAAUCAAAAUCAAGCUCAUCAAGCCCACCCUAGAAGAGAAACUUACACUAAAAUCCCAAUUAAAAAACCUUAAUUCCACUUUCACUAAAUACUCAAAUUCAACCAAAACCACUUCCCUUACAAUUAAAAAAUCCUCCCCAGAUCUAUCCAAAACCAACUCUUCUUUGUCAAAGAAUAAAACAACUAAAGAAACACCAUCACUAAAGACCUCAAUGAAUUCAAAUUCAAAAACCAAUCUUCCACAAGUAAAAGUGUUAAGAAAGAAACACACCAAUACACAAAGAAACGGGGUGGGGGUUCGAAGUAGAUGAAGAAACGGGGCGAAGAUUCAAAGUAGAUGAAAAAACGGGGUGGGGGUAAUAAUAAUAAUAAUAAUAAUAAUAAUAAUAAUAAAAAUAAAAUGGGCCCUUUUAAAAAAAAAAUUCACUCGCUUUCCUUUUUUUUUUUCCACGUCAGCCGUAGAGGGGGAAAUUAAUUCACUUGAAAGUUGUUAAGGGGGUAAAUAAUUGUCCGAUUAGUUUAGGAUCCAAAGUAAGUUUUGGCGACAAGUUUGGGGGGGGGUUGAUGUAUUUUCUCAUUAAAAAUAAUAUAAAUUAUAUAAUUUUUAGUUUUAUAAAAAAUGUUUACAAAAAUACUCUCUAUGAAUAUGGUAAAAAUGAUGUGGAAAAAUUUUUGAGAGACAAUUAUAUCUUUAAUCAUAUUAAUACGGUAAUACGUAAGAUGAAAAAGUGCACCAAAUAAUGUAUUAAUAAAACACAAAGUUAAUGCAUCCAUUGCUUUUACUAUUACAUUCUACCAAACGAUCCCUAAGAUCACUUAAAAUCGUUUUAAGUUUACGUUGUUUAAUGUUUUUUUUUUUCAAAAAUAACUUAUCACUUCAACAUCUACCAAGGGAGCUAGUCAAAGUAACUUUGUCAUUUUCAUGUUAGGAAUUUCUUAUGGACUAAUUCACUCUUCAUAGAUUAACUGGAUGUAAGAAAGCUUCCAUUUGCAGGUGAUUAUGUUUUUGCAUGAUUUUUCUCUACUUAAAUCAUUAUCUUACUUUUGAUAUUUAGAUCUUUUUCACCAACAAAGUUUUCACAAUCGACAGAAUGUUCUGCUAUUGACGUUUGAAAAGACAGAUUUCAAGGUUUUGUUACUUCGAUAAAGAAUUUAUUUCAGAAAAAACUUGAAUAAGUUUACUUUUAGUCAUAAUAUUCUAUCAAAAAUGAUGGAAAUCAUGGCUUUCACAAAUUUAUGUGAAACAAUUAUGUCUUCACAAGUUUUAUCAGAAGGGUCAUAAUUGAUAAUAGAUUCUUGUUUUGUCUUAUAUUAUUAGACAAUAUAUCUAGUUAUUAAAUUUUUUUAAAAAGUCCGUGUAGGGAUAAGCACAUGUUAAUUCAUAAGGUAAUAUCAUAUAUUAUUCUUACUAUUUUAUUAAACUAGCUAAAAAUAAAUAUAAAAAGAAAAUAUAAUCCCACAAAAAAUGACAUAUCUACAAGUUAGUUUCUAACUUUCUUUUUGACUAGCAUUUUUCAUGUCACGCAAUCCUUAGUGAGAAAAUUCAUAGGAAAAUUUUUGGAAAAAGUAUGAAGUUAAGAAUCACAAUCAUAUAUUUAGAGGAUUUUGAUAAUUUUUCAAACAAAUUUAGAAUACAAUUUAUGUAUUUUCCCAAUAUAAUGAUAUUUGAUUUUUUUAAAAUCUAUAUACGUUUAUAAAUUAAAUAACUAACCUUAAAAUCACCAAUUUCAAAUAUGGAAACAUAUUAAAAUCAAAGAAAAGAGACACCUAUAAAUAGCUAGAUGCCCUUUUUGAACCGUGUAAGAUUACCGGUAAGCUAAUUUCUGUUUUACCUUGUUUGUUUCCUCUUGUUCUUUAUAAUGUUUAGUUGCAAUAAUAUUUAUAGAUGUGUGAAAUAUUAUUAUAUUGGUGGUUUCUUAUUAUAGAGGGAUGUGCCUGUAUUUGUUAAUGUGGUGUGUAUAGGUAAGUCAGUGUGACCAGAACUAAGAGGACAAACUGUGGAAAAAGUUGUGAGUGUAAUAAAGCAAGAGAAACCAACUCUUCACCCAGUGGUGUUAAGCAUAUCGAAGUCAAUUCCAGAGCUAGUGAAUUGUACUCGUGUUAUCGUCUUUAUUAAUGACAAUAAUAAGAUUGCUCUCCCGCCCGUUGUUUGUUGAACUUCAUUAGUACUUUUAAAGCCCGUUUCGAUGGGCUUAUAAAAUACGGCUUAUAAGCCAAUAGCUUUAGUUUACUGCUUAAAUUUAAUAUAGCGAGUAGCUAUUUUAUGUCCCUUAAACUUCAAACGUAUCCACAAUUUCCAUCCUUUAUAAUAUAUGACUUAUAAGUCAAUAUUUGUUGCUUAAAUUCAAUAUAGUGAGUAUCGAUCUUAUGUCUAUUUAAUUUCAAUAAAACAUAUCCGCAUUUUCCAUCCUUAUUUCAAUAGACUUUUACUUAAAUUGUUUUCAAUUUUGAUCUACAUAUACAAAUUGUCAAUGUAUCCUUGGAUAUAUCAUGGUCUACUACAUCGAUUCUAUUUCAGGUAACAAAAUUUGUAUGCUAUCCCGUUAUUUUAUUUUGUGUGGAAAAUCUAAUUCAUGAAAAUAUAAUUGGUCUAAUUCGUUUAAAUUUAAUUUAAAUAGUUAGUUUAACUGACGGAUCAAUUUGGGUGAAUUUAAUUAAAUAGAUCAUCUAAAAAUGCGAUCGAGCAUGUACAUUAGAAAAAAAAGGGAAAGAAAUUUAGGGAUUUUGUUGGUUUAAAUAUUAUUAUAAUAGCUAAAGUGAUUUUUUUUCUAACUAUGAUUUGAUUAAUAAAUAAUAAAUCAGACGAAUUCGAGUUAUGGCUCAUUAUUUAAUUUAAAUUCACCCGCAUAUCUUUACAUAAGUAAAUUUUAAAUUGAUUAUGACUUUAACUAAUCCGUUUAUUGAAUAUUAUAUAUCAAAAUGUGUAGAGAAAGAAACUUUGGGGUUUUGUUGGUUUUGAUAUAAUUAUGACCAAAAAAAAAAUUAUUUUUACUUUGAUUUGGCAAAUAAAUAAUAAGUCAAACAAGUUCAAGUUAUGACUCAUUAUUUUGUCCAAACUCAUCCGCAUAUCUUUCGACAAGCAAAUUUUAAGUUGGUUAUCACUCUAACUUGGGGUGUUUAUGGGUCGGUUUGGGUUGGUUAUUGGUCAAAAUCAUAACCAAACCAACUUAGUCGGUUUUUAAAUUUCUAAAACCAAACAAAAAAUAACCGUCAAUUUGAUUCUUGUCGGUUUAAUUCGGUUUGGUUCGGUUUUUUCGGUUUAUAACUUUAGCUAAUGAUAAAAGUUGAAAAAUUUUAAAAAACAAAUGAAUAUAACAUAUGAGAUGUCAACUGAGUGUUGUAUCUCAACCUUGAAACUAUAAUGUCAACUGAGUAUUUUACUUCGACAGAGCUAUGAACAACGCCAUAUGAACGCUUCUAAAAAAUAUUUAAAAAAUACAUUUAACAGAAUGAUAUGAUAAACCCCCCAAAAUGUGAACACAUAAACUUGUAGCUCAACAAGGUUAAAAAAGAAAGUUAAAAUUAAUGAUUGUCGAUAGUCUAAUGAAUCUCAGCUAUAAAUUUCAAUAUACAACAAGAUAUUAUUUUUACAAUUAGUAUCCUUUGUCAUUCAAUAUGGUGUUGGUAGUUCUGGUGGUGUUAGUGUUGGUGUUGGUAUUGGUGGUGUUGGUAUUGAUGGUGGUGGUGUUAAUGGUGUUGGUGGUGGUGGUAGUGGGUGGUAUUGGUAUUGGUAUUGGUGUUGGUGUUGGUAGUAUUGGUGGUGGUGGUAUUGGUGGUGGUGGCAUUGGUAUUAGUAUUGGUGGUGGUGGUGGUGGUAUUUGUGGUGUUGGUGUUGGUGAUUUUGGUGGUAGUGUUGGUGGUGGCAUUGGUAUUAGUGUUGGUGGUAUUGGUAUUGAUAUUGGUAUUAUUAUUGGUGUUGGUAUUGGCGGUCUUGGUAGUAUUGGUGUUGGUGGUGUUGGUAUUAGUGGUGUUAGUGGUGUUGGUAGUGUUGCUGAUGGUAUUUGUAUUGGUAUUGGUGGUCCAUUUAUUGCAGCAGGUGGAACAUUUAUUAGGAGAUAUUAAAACAGGUCUUUAACGGAUUUCCCAUCUGUUGCAACAAAUGUUUCAGCUGUUGGCAUAAAACAAACCAGUAACAAGACUCUUUUGAUUUCCCCCAACAGGUUGUUCAUCCAUUACAACAGAUGGUGCAUAUAUUGUAACAGAUGAUUCAUCUGUUCCAACUGGUGGGUUAUCUUUUGGAAUAUUUUUUUGUAAUGUGGUAUAUAAAACUUUAUUGAAUUUUGUCUUACCUUUUUUUUUAAAAUUAUGCAGACAUCAAUUGUAAUGUAUUUUGUUUCUCUCUUGUUUCUAGGUAAAAGAUGUCUCCCAAAAGAAAAGAAACUGAAAGUGGAUCAACUUCUGACCACCUAACAAAAAAGGUUAGAGUACACGUGGAUUUAGAGAAACUUUCUGAACAAUCUCAGUCAGGAAAAAGUGAAGCUGAGGAAAGUAAUGAAAAUGAUGUUGAGGGAGGUGGAGAAGGGUAUGUAGAGUCUGGUGAGGAAAAUAAAAAUGAGGAGGAAGAAGAAGAAGAUAAAUAAGAAGACGAGGAAGUAAAAAGUGAGAAAGAUGAUGAUGAUCAACAUGAUGAUAGUGCAUCACUAAUGGGGCAUGAAUCAAGAUCGAAAUCCCAACAUGAUUCUGUCAAAACUAUUAGUAUUGACAGAUUUCAAAUUGAGAUGCUGAUAGAGAACCCUACAGAACUAAUUGGUGAUUUUGUAGUUAAAUCUCAGUUGGAGAAACCUUUUGGUGAAUUUAGAAAUAUUAUGAAGAAGGAAAAACUAGAGAAAUUUUUUAAGAAGAGCUGCUUUGGGCAUUUUCUUAAGCUACCUGAGGACAACAAUGCCCAUUUCUAAAUGCGCAUGGUAUAUGGUGUUCUCAAGUGCAGGAUCAAGUACGUGGGGGAUGAUAAAGAUUUGAAGGAGGGGUGCAAAGAUGGAUGAAAUCUGGAUCAACUACUAUGGCAUGUUAGUUUGUUUUGGCAUGAAAGAGUUUCCCAUAGUGACAGACUUGAGAUACGAUCGUCCAAAAAAACCUCUCAUCAAGAAAACACCCCUCAAAAAGUCCAAGGAAAGUAGGACAACCAAACCACCACCAUCAAAUAAAGGCAAGACAUUGUCCAAGCAACAACCCACCAAAACCAACAAACAUAAGAAAAAAAUAGAUGAGUUGUUGGAAAAUGCUGGACGUGGCUACAGAGCUACGAUAUUAUUAGAAGAUAUCAAGGAUAAAGCCUUACCAAAGAAGUAUAAGGAGAAAUUGUGCGUAGUUUGGUUUGCCCAUUCCGUUAUAUUGACAAGAGACGCUACAAAGUCAUAGAAGAUGAUUUGUUGGAGCUUGCUGGGGAUUUUGAGAAAUCCAACAAUUGUCUCUGGGGAUAUGACAACUACAAGUUGACUGUUACAUAUUUAUUGAAAAACUAUCCCCAAAGAUGAUCGCCUUGUAUGACUUUUAUGGUAAAUUUAAUCACUAUUUAUUUACUCUUGCAUUAGUUUAUAUUAAUAAUUAUUAUGACUUUUUUUGUUCGCUUCCUGUUUAUAUUUUUUAGGCUUGGGCAUUUUAAGCCAUUAUUCUUCUUCGAAAGAAGAUCAAGGAUUACCCAAUUUAGGUUUCUCAUCUAAGGAUCCUUAGGUGGUUGGCUGCAAAAAGCAACACAAAAAUUAAGGAGGUUGAUCUCUUUAACCCUCCAGAUGAUGCAGUAAGUCUUCUUUCAAGUAAAGUAAAAAAAUUUGAUACAAAGAUAUAUAUUGAAACAGAUGAUUCAUGUGUCGCAAUAAAUGGAUCAUCUGUUACAAUUUAUCUUAACAGAUGACUCGUCUGGUGCAACAAAUUGGUAAUCUAUUGUGUCAAAUAAGUCAUUUUUCGCAACAAAUUAACCAUUUGUUGCUUUGGUUCUCUGAAGUUGACUUAACAAAUUACCCAUAUACUACAACUUAUGCAACAGAUUGGUAAUCUGAUGUAAUAAAUGGUUAAUCAGUUGUCACAUAUGAAUCAUCUAUUGCAACAUAAAGAUCAUCUGUUGCAAAAGUUAUCAGUGUUAACAUAUUACCCAAUUGACUGCAAAUUAUUAUUUGAUUUAAAUGUAUCUACCUUUUUUUUAGGUUGUGCAUCCAUAGAUCGUACCCACUCAACAAGAGUUGGAGAUGACUUCUUUUAUUACUCUAGGUCUUGUUGAUACAAUAGUAGACCCAACAGUGGAGUUAAUAAAGAAGGAAUUGGCUGAAGCAACAGCCAUAAGAAGAGCAUUUAGGCAAGGUCAGCCUUAUUUUGAGACUCUUCAUAACCAAACUGCUGCAACAGAUCCGGGUGCUGCUUCUUAGGGUGUUUUUGGUGGAGUUGUUGAUGUUGGUGGUAGCCAUAUUGAUGAUGAUGAUGCUGCCAGUCAUGAUGAUGAGCAUGUUGAUGCUUAAGAAAAUUAAAUAUGUUUGAAUUCACCCCUUACAUUGGUCUCUCUCACCCUUAUAGUGGUCCCUCUCGCCCCUUUUCACCCUCAUAUUCUUAUUGCAAAUGCAAAGAGUGCAUGGACAGAAAAGAUAAACACUUUAAAAAAUAAAUGCUCUCGCUAAUGUUGUCGAGAAAUUGAAUUCCAGGAGGGGUGUCAUAACAUCCAAGAAGGUAGGUGAUUCAUACACUCCUACAGUGGAGGUUUGGAAGAAGAAAAAAAUAAUUAGACAUAUACUCUCAAUUAUAAAACCAAAAAAAUUGCAACUCCUCCUCUUCCAAAAGUUGAUGAAGUUUAGGGACCAUUGAAGAAGGUGAACAUAUGCGCCGAACUUGAAGCCAAACAGAAGGUUGUUCUAAGGAAGUACAUAAAUUCCAAGCAAAACCUUCACCAUGAAUACCUUUUCCCCUAAGACUUCAAAAAGAUGACAGAUAUGGUGUAAUAUCCCGUAUUAGCCUUAACCCAAUUUAUCCCCUAGUGUAUGUGUAAGAGGCUUAGAACCUGAAAAUUUAGCUAAGUAUUGGAGACUUAGACUUAUUUUUGACCCCUAAACUUCGAUGAUUUUAUUCUCGAUCUUUCUGAGCCCAAAAAUUGGUUUCUAAGUUAAUUCAUGACCAGGGUUGUUGAUAGUUCAUCUCGGGUGAGUUUCGGGUUUUUUGGAUGACAUUUGGGGCAUGUUUGGAUGGCCAAACCAGUGGACCAAUGCAAUAUGGUCGCGUCGCGUCAGCUACCAUAUUGGAAGCAGUAACGCGAUGCGGCAUUUAUCGCAUCGGAUUGAGCGACGUGGUGCGUCGCCAAAUGUGUCAAGGACUAGUUUGGUUUAAAUAAAUUUCAGGUCCAUAGGGGUAUUUGGGUUUUUUUUCCCCACUUUAAUUCAGCCAAAACACGGGAUUUAGGUCCCAAAACAACAUUUUUGCCUCAUAUUUUAGAAUUCUCUCUCAAGAACAAAACCCUAGCCCCUUCAACCUUCAAGAGAAAAAUUUCAAGAAACCCACCAAGAGCUUUCAAGAAUCCUUCAAUUGAGGUAUGUUAGAUGUUCAUCCAUGGGCCCUUUCCACCUAUGGAGUCUAAGAACCCAAUUUCAAGUUUACAAGAAUGAUGUUUACAUGUUAUUAUGAGCUUUAUACAUGAACCCCCAUAAGUUUUGAUUUUUACAUGAUGAUUACAAGAAAUUAUUGUUGAAAUUAAACCUUACACGUUUGAGUGGUGCUAUCCGCAUGUUAAAUCCCUAAAUCCAUGAGUUGUAGUAUUUCAACUAUGUUAGCAUCUCAUGUUUUGACUAUUCACAUGCUCAAGUCUAUAAAUUUCAAGUGUUUGAUGAAAUGCCUAAAUGAUUGGUUUGAAUAAUGACCCCUUGUAAGGUUUCCAAGAGUUUUUGGAUGAAAAGAGUCUUUACAUGUUGAAAGUCGAAGUAUGUUUAGCUAUAUCUUGGUAAUUUGGUUUUAAGUUAUGUUUUCAAUUGAUCUCAUGUGGAAUGCAUUAUAAUAUGUUCUAACUGUUGUGGCUUUCAGAUCAUGUUCAUGCAAAUUCAGAAUAAAACCCUCAGUUUAUGAUUUGGUCAAGUGCUUGUGCUAUCUUAUCAUGUUUAAAAAACAUCCCCAUGUUAAAGUCUAAUCCCCAUGUGUCUGAUGAAAUGCUUAAGUAAAUAAUUUUGAACAAUGAUUUCUUAUUAUGUUUUCGAAGCUUCAGUAUGGCCCUAUUGUUAUUGCUAUCGAGUCCUGGGGGUUAUGAAUACCCGAAAUUUAGCUGUUUACUUAGUUUUCAGCAUCUAUAGAAUGAUUUCAGUCAUGCCAGGAACAAUAUCAUUCAUUCCGUUAACAUGGUUAAGCUUAGUCCAGUUCAAUAAUCAGUGUCAGUUUAGUUGGGAGUAGAAUUUAUCACCGAGCAAACCUAGGGAUGGGGGUAUUCCUGCUAGGUUAGGGUGUGACCCUUAGUAGUAGUCCCUGAGUUACAGAACUGCGUACCCAACGUAGGUUGAUAUGUCUUCCUGCCAGAUUAGGGUUGACAUAUAUAUAUAUUUCAUAAGUCUUCCUUCCAGAUUAGGGUUAACACAGCCAUUGUUAGUACCUGUGGCACGGUACUAACACCCUUCCAACUGGGGUUAUAGGUUGGACCCCAAUUAGCUUAUUUGGGGUAUGUCGGUUAGAUGAUACCUCCCACAGUUUCAGUUACAGUACUCAGUAUAGAGUUCAAAUUAGUUUCGCUUGACCAUAGCUUUCAGUUAUCAGCGAUUCAACUACAGACUUUAGUUUCAGACUAUAUCAGAUAUGCAUUAUAUGCUUAGUCUUGCAUUUUUCAGUAUUUUCAAUCCUUACGUAUAUUCUCAUACAGUUACCUUACGUUAUUCAUUCAGUUAUCACUACUUGCAUAUGAACCCAUAAAUUUUAGCCUUACCUCAUUUAGCAUACCAGUAUAUUCAAAGUACUGAUCUCAUACUCGUUUCUUGCGUUAUGAUGUCUUAUAUCAUAGGUUCAGAUGCUUAAAUUCUCGAUCGUACUUAGACAUUCCAGUGCAUCAGCAGCAAAAGCCGUGUUAAGUCCUCUUUCUUCAAGGAUGAGUUAUCUUAUAUUCAGUUAUGUCAGUAGUUCAGUUAUUUAGUCAGUCGGAGUUAGUUGGGGGCUUGUCCCAUCAACUCCACAGUCAGAUAAUUUAGAGGCUUUUGGACUAGUAUAGACAGUUGGUCAGUUUUUAGUUGUAAUUAUCAGUUAUUUUAUUAGUAUUUUUCCAGACGUUUUAAACCAUAAUUCAGUAUUGAUUUAAGUUAUUAAAACCUUAUGGCAUUUCAGUUGAAAUUCUGCAUAUGGUGUUUAUCAGUUUUAUUCAAUGCUCACAGCAGAUACCAACUCAUGGGUUAACUUAUGGUCUCAGGGGGCCGUAAGCACCAUGUGGCAUCCAGGGUGUACUCCCGGGGCGUUACAUAUGAAUGUGUGGUAUGUGGACACGAUAAGUUUACUUUUCCUAACCUAGCCUUUAAUCCACUCCAUGAAGAAGAAGCUACGCAACAGAUGUGUCAUCUGUUGCAACAACUGGGUAUUCUGGUGCAACUAAUGAUUCAUCUAUUGCAUAAGUUACAUUAGAUGUGUAAUUUGUUAAUAGAUUUAGAGAACCCUGUGUAACAGAUGGACCAUCCUUUGCAUCUUGCUACUUUGUUUUUAUUUUUUAAAAUUAUUAGCCUAUUUAACAAUUAUCUUCUUAUAUCACAGUAUGUUGAUGAAUUCUUUGCCUCAUGAGGGGCAGAAAAUUAGCCUAUUCAAAUGCUUAUGAUGCUAGCGAUAGGAUAAUGGACCUCAACUUCUACAAUAAUUUCAAGGAUAGGUACGAUGAGCUCAUUAAGCUAGCGUCAACUCCUGGUAGUCGGGAUUUAAUUUGUUAGUUUCUAGGUUCGAAUGGGAUAAAGAUAUGAUUAAAUAUGUUACAGGAAAGAGGUCACAUCCAUACAGCAAGGACUGUAUCAAGGGAAAGAGAAUUCUUACAGUCAUGAACGUGGACGUAAAACAUUUUUUUGGCUCUUGAGAUACUACUCCAACAAGGAAUGAUAAGGGUUUAGGACUGCAACUUACCUGUCUUCGACGAGGCUGAUUUUUUUAUCAAGAUGCAGCCACUAUUGGACUUGUUCCCUAACUUGUUGAGCCAGAGUAAACUGAUGAAUCAUUUGAUAGCAAAAGUGUUGAGUGAAAAAAUGGGAUUUUAAAGGUCGAAACAAGGACAAGGGCCUUCUAAAAAAUGAAACAGGUGCCGCACUCGGGUCGUACGUGCUUGCACACAUAGAAUGUUUGCUAACCAACACAAAAAUAACCAACCCAACAACCUUUCUGUGCGACAAGACCGUAUCAAGGAUGCAAGAGGUUUGGGCUUCUGGGGUACUAACUAAAUGGUUGGAGUCUGUGUAUAAAAAAGAAGAAGAUGUAGAAACACAAACACCAUGACAAUUUUUAUUUCAAGUCACUUUACAUGUAACGAUAAUUUUUUCUGUUUGAUGAAAGUUAAUUUGGUUUAUUAAAUUUGGAAACUUAUGAAUUAGUACAAAAAUAUUAUCUUUAAGUUCAAAUAUUGCAACAGGUGCAUUAUAUAGAUAUGUAGACAUCUGCAUGAUAGAACAGAUUGUCUAUCUGUUACUAUCUGUUCUGAUAAAUAGUUUAUUUAUUACAAUAAGUUGGUCAUUUGUUGCAUUACACAGAUGUUUAUAUCUAAGUCUAUUUGUUGCAAAUGAUUCUAUUUGUUGCAACAUAUAGUCUAUCUAUUGAAACAAAGAAAACCAAUAGGAAAACCUAUUUGAUAAUUUCCAACAAAUGACCUAAAUAUUGCAACAUAUGUCUAAAUCUGUUUGAUAAUUUCCAAUAGAUAUGUCAUUUAUUGCAACAGAUACAUUAUCUGUUGUAAUAUUUGAAUCUAGUAAUCUAUUUCAAUUAAUAAGUUCAGAUAAAAUAAAAUUCAUAGAUAAAAUAAAAUACAUCGAAGCCUUUAGAAAUUACAAGAAAUAAAUCAACAAAAAAAUGAAAUGUAAAAAAAAUGUUAUGGGUACAGAUGAUCUACUCAACAAAUAAAUCAACAAUUUAAGUUUUGAUGCCAACAAUUUUUAAGAAGAGUUUAUUAAUUUGACAGACUCAAUCUAUAAAGAUCUGCUCAAUAUGGACAAGUUGUUCUUCAUCAGGUGCUAUGGAAUUCGGCUUUGAUCGUCGUGAAUCUUUAAUGUCGCUUGCGUAUAGUUUUUGAGAUUUUCUUCUCCGUAUUUCCACAAAAGAGUAGCAUAUCUUUUAAGGAGUAAUCCAUCAUCAAGUCCAUUAUUAGUACUUGUAAUUCAUUGCUCAAAUACUAGAUGUAAGCGACAACAAAAAGACCACAAAUCCCUGCGUUUGUAAGAAUCAGAUAAUUCAUAUAUUGCAAUUAAUGUAAGUGUUGUGAAAUUUAUGAAAUAAAACUAAAUCAUGAUACUUGAAUGAUACUUACAAAUACCAAUGGAUUGUUGAGCAAUUCCUUUAACAUAUUCUACGUCAAAUGGAUUACCAAUUUUAUCCUGGUAUGCUUCAAUCAUCGAUCAAUUAGUACAAAUCUUUUGAUCCAAAAAGCCACUUAUAUCAAGGUAAGUAGGCAAUAUUUUGACUAAAUUUUGUAUCUCAGACGAUGGACUAGAACAUUUUCUUCCCUACAUCGAGUCGUAAACUCAGAUGUGCCUCACUUUUAGAAUGAUGACAGCCGAAACUCAAUGAAAUUCAUCACCAUAAUUGAUUGGGAUGUACACUUCGUUGACCAAAUGUCAAGGUAAGCCAGCUAGAACGCUAAAACCUUUGAUGAUGUUGAUUAAGCAUUCCUCAUUUCCUGAACUUUUGGCUGUUGUUAACAAUACUUAUCGUAGGCAUUAUUGAUGUAAAAUUUGUACAAAUAAUUGUCUGUCGUGUAUCUAUAUUGUUCUUGUAUUUGCAACUUGGCCUUCUUUCAGAGGUAGUAAAAAAUAACAUUGAUGUGCUGCACAUAUAAUCAAACAUUUCAGAUUACGUGACAAUAAAAUUAAUACACAAAUAUAAUUAAAUAAUAUAUUAAUAGUAAGAUGUAUGACAUUUAAACCUCAUCAUUCCAGCAAGUUUGGGGCUGUGACAUCAAGUAGCACCGAUUCUUCGUUCUGGGAUUUGCAAUAACAAAGUCAAACAUAUCAAAAUCAAGAUCCGAUUAGUUAACUUUGUAGUAUUAGUCAUUUUAUUUUCCGCAUGAUUUAUAUGUGUUAAUGUUAUGUUUUUACAACAAGAAUUGUAAAAAUCAAUAUCUUUAAAAAUAAUUUAUGUACCUGUUGACAUGAAGCUUUAACAGCCCAUCGACAAUCUAUUCUGAUUAGUCUUUGAUCAACUUUGUUAGUUUGUUUGAAGUCUCGUCCGGGAUGUUGAACCCUUCAAACGGGUAAUUCUUCCAUUCUUCCGAACUGACAGGUUUCACUUUUUCUUCAUUGGAAGUAGUUGAUGGAUUAUCAAUUAUGAUAUUAUGCUGUUCAGCAGUAGCUUUUACUGUGACGUCCACCUGGAAAGCCAAAAUUGUCAAUGCUAAUCACAGAGAUACAAAAAAAUGGAAAAGGAUAACUCAUCUAUUUUAGCAAAUCAAACGGGUCUUCCUCUUAUUUUAUAUUGUCCCAACAGAUUACCUAUUUGUUGCAACAGAUGAAUCAUCUGUUGGGACAAAUUAAAAUAAGAGGAAGACCUGUAUGAUAAUUUCCAAUAGAUGACCCAUCUGUUGUAACAUAUGACUCAUCUGUUUGGAAAAAUUAAAAUAGUAAGAAGUUUUAAUUUAAUUUAUCCCAAUAUAUGACCCAUUUGUUGCAGCAGAUAGGUCAUGUAUUGGUACAAAUUAAAACAGUACGAAGACCUGUUUGGUUUGCUAAAAUAGAUGAGACAUAUGUUGCAACAGAUAAUGCAUCCGAUGCAUAAGUUAGUCAACUGUUGCAAUAUAUGUAUAUAUCUGUUUGAUAAUUUUUAACAGAUAUGUCAUCUGUUGAAACAAAUAUGUAGUCUGUUUGUUUAUUGAAACAAAUGAUAUAUAUUCACCUUCUUCAGCUCACGCUGCUCUCUUGUGGCCCUUGUACAUUGAUCAAAAGUGCAAGACAAAGACAGAAAAGUUGUAAUUUUGCUUUUUUGAUGCUUGAUGAUGCCUUGGAAAUUUCUUUCCUUCUCUUCUUAGCCGCCUUAAUCUCUAAUGGAGUGUAUAGAUAUGAAAUUCUAUUUGAUGGAAUGACACUCCUCUUAGAUGUUAAUUCCAUUACAAAAGCAGUUAAUGCAUUAAUAACAUUAAUCACUCCAUCAUAUUUCGCCUUGUAGUCUUGACAUUUGCAUGCAGAACAUUCGCUAGGAGGGGCAAAAUCUGUAUAACCAGUAUGAUCAUAACCAUGAUAGUUUGUUAUUUCAAAAACUGUAAGAGGAGCAUCAUUAGCCCCAACAACAGAACCACUACCACUACCACUACUACCACCAACAACUCCAUCACCACUAACACCAUCAACAACAAUAAGCCCACUCUCCAAAAUUAUUUUUCUUGUGAUAGUUGUUGCUCCAAAUAAUUUUUUUAUUCUAUCAAUGACCUUAGGGCCCGAUAAAGUUUACACAGACCAUAAAGUAAGAAAAAAUGACAUCUUUAACUCUCGAUUGGUCGAAACAAGUCACGAAUGCACAAUUUAAAAUAAAUCAGUAUAUAUAUUAGAAUGAUGAUUAAAUCAUUUAAAAAAUUACUUUAAUUAAAAUAAAAACUUAAUUAGAAUUAGACUUACUGCUUCCUUCGGGGGAUUGAAGAGAUCAAGAAAUUUUUUAUUUUUAUCAUUUUUGAUCAACAACCAUCUCAGGAUUCUUAUACAUGAAACUGCUUCCUGAUAGUUAACUUGUUGUUCAAAUAAGAAAUGGCUUCAAAUGCCCAAACCUAUAAAAUAACAUCAAUAAAUUAAAAGCAUUAUUCAAUUAAAAAUAAAUAAAUCAUAAUAAAAGAAAUAUUUACUAUGAAAGCUCAUGGAAAGCCAUAUAAGUUGACUGUCUUUGGCGUUAACGUUGUCAACGAAUAUUUGACAGUCAUUUUGAAGUUUUCAUAACCCCAAGGAUAGUUGUUAAAUGCCUUAAAAUCCUCGGAGAGCUUUAUUAAACCAAGUGGUAUGUUGUUGUUAACAUCUCUCGCCCAAAGAAUAUUAUAUACAAACCAAACCAAGCACAAUGAUCGUUUGUGCUUCUUUGAAAGUCUUUUACCUUUCAACACUUCUAUCAAAUUUUUAUUUUUGAAGCUUCUACCAACAAGGGACACCAAUUCAUCACCAUCACUUGCUUUGUCUUUGCCUUUUUUGGAUGUGCGGGGUGCUUUUUAAAGUUUGAAUAGGUAUAACUUGAGAAGGAGAAGGAGGAUAACACUUUAGUCCAGUAACUAUGGAAAUCUCCUUCCAACCAAAACAAACAGGCAUGCACAGUAAUUUAUCCACACCUUAUCCAUCUUAUCUUUAUUUUCAUACAUAAACCUACGCUUGAAAAGAUCAUAUACCAUUUUCAUUUAAAAACGAGCAUUGUGUUCUCCGACAAAUCAAGAUAUUGCCCAAAACAGAUGUCCUUGAAAUAAGCAUCCAAUUUUUAGCCUCGAAGUAUUUUUCUGAAGGCGUCAAAUUUUUUUUCCAUGACUAACUUAACCACGAAAUCACCAGUUAAAUCUGUGGCACCAUCGUACUGUAUUCUCACAGGAUAACUAUCAAUGCUAAAGGUUUUGAUCAACUCUUCAGUGGAAGGGCUAUUAGCAUUUGGAUCAUCUCUUUUGAAAUAUUCCUCACCCCAUGUUCAUUAUCUUCUGCUUCUGAUUGAGAUAUCGCUUGUAAAGCAAGCUCAUAGAAUGGUAGAUGUAGCCUAGUUGCUUCACUUGUUCCUUUACUUGGACUUGAUUCAGUUUUUUCUCUUUUGGGAGCCAUAUUAUCUAAAAAUAACAAAAAAAAAAUAAAAAAGAUUAUAAUUGAUUAAUGUAUCACUAUAGAAAGGAUAACAGUAAAUCUAGCAUGUACAAUAGUAAAAUAACAGUUUCAACAGAUCAUACAUCUGUUGCACCAGGUAGGUUAUCUGUUGCAACAUAUAACUAACCCGUUGCAAUGGAUGAGUAAUCUGUUGAAAACAAUAAAAACAGAUUACUCAUCUAUUGAAAUAGAUGACUGGUUUGUGCAACAGAUCAUUUAUCUAUUGCAGCAUAUGAUUGAUCUGUUUGAACUAUUAUCAACUGUCAAUAUUGUUUAGAUUUCUUCCAACAGAAGGUCCGUCUGUCACAACAGAUGAAUGAUCUGUUAGAUUGUUUAUCUAUAGCAUCAGAUGGUUCAUAUGUUGCAUCAGAUAGUUCAUCUGUUGUAGAAAAAAACCAAUAACAAGAUUUUGUUCAAUAGAACAACAACAAUAUCACCAUUUAAUAUCAAGUAUACUAUUUUUAUCAAUAACAACAAUAAAUCAACCCAGCAAUACCAACACAACACACACACAUCAAGAACAUCAAUAGUGAUAAAAAAAUAAACUUUGUUGUUUUGUUUGUACAAACACAAAAAACAAAAAUCAAACUUAAAAAAACUCAACAGACACCAGCAACUCGAAUCAACAGUUCGACAACAAGAACUACAAUAAAAAUAAAAAGUUAUAUUUCACUCUGAAAAGAGAAGAGAAGAAAUAUCAGAAAUUAGGGUUUUUUUUAGUCCCUAUUUUAAAUUUUAAAUUUAAGCAACAAAUUAAAAUUAUUGACCAAUACUAGAAGAGAAGUUGACUCAAGUUCUGAUUUUUCUUUAUAACUAAAAAGCAAUAAUUUUUUAUCUGUGAAAGAAGAAAAGCGACAAUGAAGAAUUCGAAGUUGUUGUUGCCAGAGAGCAAUAUUGUCACGUCGAUUGAUGAUUGAAAGUCGAAAAGGAACUCGAAGCCCAACUAUUUAUUGUCGGAGGUUGAAGUUGUCGGAUAUUGAAGGAACAAAUUUGCAAAACUGUUCAUUGGGAGAAGUUGAGAGAAACUGUCGGGAGAGAGGGAAGAGAGGAGAGAGACAGUUAAUUUGGAGAGGAGAGGGGUGUGGGUUGAUUUGUAUUUUUAAAAAAAUUAAAAAGUUUUAAAAAUAUUAAUCAAGUUCACAAUUAAUUUAAUAAAGUUUUCUAAUUAUGUUUGACUCUUUAAGUUGGUUACUGUCACCAAUUCCACAAUAAAGACUUAAAAGAAACAUUUCCUUCAAUUUUCUUAAGAAACUUGUACGUUAUUCUUUAGAUACUUCAUUUUAGUAAUAUUAUCAUUUAAUAAAUUAUUUACUAUUUUACCUCGCAUACAUGUGCAACACACAUGUCGAGAAACUAGUAUACAUAUAUAAAAAUUUAAUUAAAAAAUAUAACUUAUAUUAUAUAUAUUCUUUGUCUUAUAAUUAAUAUAAGCUAAUGGCAUAAUAAACAUAUUUUGUUUAUAAGUCUUCAUAAUUAUUAAAGUUUUUAAUUAUAUAAUUGAGUAAUUUUAGAUAAAAAAUAUUUAUAAGGAAAAAAGUAUUAUCGGAGAAUUAGAACAUAUCAAAAGUUUACAAGUGAUUCGAUAUUUUAUAUAAUAACAUAAUUUAAAAAAUUAAUAAUUAUGAUUCGAUGAAGAUCAUAAAUAAAAAAAGAUUGAUAUUUAUGAAUUUGUGAGCAUGUAAUUUACUAAUUAUAGAUAGAAAUAAAUUUAUUUGGAUAUUUACUGAGUUUAAUUUUUUAUCAUAAUUGCAUGUGGCAAAACUUUUUACAAUUUUUUCUUGAAUCAUCUAAUACAACAAAAUAUAUCUAUUAACUUCAAUUUUAUAUUAAAAAAAAUUCUAACCUCAAUUUAGAUACACAAAUUAAGUUAACAAUGAUAUUGAAUAAUAAAACUACACUAAUAGAUUAUUCCAUUUAUUUGUCAUGUUUAUUUUUUUAUAUGUCCCUUUAAAGAAAAUCAUGUUUGUCUCUUUUUAAUUAAUUGUUUAUAUUUUUUUAUGUCCACGAAAUAAUAAAGACAAGGUAUUAUUUGUUAAAUUACCCGAUUUAUUAUAUGUUUCUUUUAAUUUACAAUCACUUUAGUUUAUUUUGAAUAAAGGAAAAGCGCAAGGAUCUCUUUUAACUUUAAGAGGUUACUUGUAGAAUAAUAUUGCUAGCUUGCAACUCUUUCCAUAAACAUAGAUACAUAUGGCCAAAUAAAAAUUCUUUUUAACCUUGUAAUUAUAUGCUUCAAAUGUUUUUAUUAGGUGUACAGGAACUUCCAAUUUUAAAGAAACUUUAAUAUGCGUUAAAAUCAGUUCGUAUUUGAAUAGAUUGUAAGCAUUGCAAAAUAUGUUGUCUAUAUCAUACCCCUUGAGGUGCGGUCCUUCUUCGAACCCUCUAAUUCGAGAUAUUUUGAGCUGCCUUUACACUUGAAUAGAAUGUAAGCUUUACAAAGGAUUCACACAACAAACUCCCCAAGUAAAUUUGUUUGAGCCCCAUUUAAUUGAUUCAUUGACAAACACAUUCUUGGUAUACCAUUCACGGUGAAUGGUAUACUGGAAUCACAUGCAUAUAUACCUGGUAAGUUCAACAUUGCUUAAUUUCAACAAAGCCUCAUCGAGAAGAAAGUUUUGACCUAUACAAUCCAACAGGUAGUUAACAAAUCUAACAUACAGACAACUCUAACAACCCAAUUGGCUUAUGGACCAUUUUUCCCAAGGUCAUCUCGUCUACUCAUUCUACAUUAAAAUAUAUAUGCAAGUUCGUUCUAUUGGCUGAUUUUUCUUUCUCCAAGUCGACAUUAGACAACUUCUCUCGGCUAUAUAUGUCUGGACGUUCAAGCAUAGGUGAGUUUCCAUGGUGUAUUACAAUUACAACUUUAGACUACAUCUUCCGGGGACUUAGGGGACUUUGAGCAACAGGUCAGGACAGCAUCUGAGACGGUGAGAAAGAUCUUGUCCUCGCCAAUUUGAUUCACGAGAUCAGAUGCAUGCAGCUUGUCAACCACUACUCUUCCAGGAUUCGAGAGAACAAGCUGUUCAUACACACACACACACACAAAGGGUAAGAUUUCCAUCACAUUUGAACUUGUUUUUGGUUCAGAUAUACUAUGUUUGGGGUUAAAUUAUCAGGUUUAUGAAAAUUACCUGAACCUCUCUCUUUUGUAGGCUGCUGUGCAACUCUUCAAAUGCAUGGAUGCCGCUAGUGUCAAUGUCAGUCACAGCUGCAAAGAGUAAGUGAGAAAUACGAGAUAAGUGUCAUUUGCUUCUGCUGUUCUCAUAUUUGCUUGAAAUUUUUAAAGAAAAAGGUAACCAUUUUCUCCACUUACGUGACAUGUCAACUAUCAAGAACUGAAUUUUAGGUUGGUUAUUGGAUUCUAGUUGCUCGUCCUCAUCCGUUAGCCAUCUCAAUAUCCUGGAAAACAAGUUCAUUCUCAUAUUUUAGACCCUUUUAGCCAAUAUGAAGCCAGAAUUACUUCAUGUUAUCAUGUUGUCAGUUGAAAACUGAAAUAACUAUCACAUCAACUCCUAUUAAAGAUGGAAGAAAUUAUGUCUUACCUCUCUUUCAUGUAGUUAGAAUUUGAAAAGUAGAUCGCAGAAUCAACUCUCACAAUUAGUACACCGGGAACUUGUGUUGCCUCGGGAUAUUGUUGAAUGUUCCUAUAUACAUUUGUCCUAGGGAUCUUUCCAAGAAGAGCUGUUCGGGGUCUUGUGACUUGGAGGAGAAUCUUAGCAAAUGAUAUGGAGACCUAUUUAAUAAUAAAAACAACGAUAUCCAAUCAUUGAACUAUUGCAGCUUUCCCUAAUGAAAUUGUUGAGUAUGCUAAGAGAAAUGCUUACAGCAAUUAUAAGGCCUAUCUCGACAGAGGCGAAAACCACACCAAAAAAUGCUCCCAUGCAAGCAACAAAAUCAAAUUUGUCGAUCUUCCAAAUCAAAAUUGUUGCUUCAUAGUCUAUUAAUCCAACGACAGCAGAGAUAAUGAUGGCAGAGAGGAUUGCAUUCGGAGUGUACUCAAAAAGAGGGGUUAAGAACAACAAUGUCAGGAACACAACAAUAGACAUAACAAUGUUGGAAACUGCAGUUUGGCAUCCAGACAUGCAAUUUACUGCUGAACGAGAGAAGGAACCUGCAAGAGCAAAUUGAUCAACUAGUUACAGAAUGCCAAGAGAAAAGCACAAGGAGCAUUUGUUUGUCUUAAUUAUAAAACAUGACGAAACACAUUAGCAGAUCAAUCAACAUUUGAUUUGAAGUGAUUGUUAAAUUUUAUAUGUUUUAUGAGUACUUUAUUCAUUUUUUCUACCUGUUGUCACAUAGCAUGAUGUCAUGGAGCCAACAACAUUCAUUGUUCCAAGUGCCACCAUUUCUUUGUUUCCAUCCAACUGAUAGUCUUUCAUUGAAGCAAAUGAUCUUCCGAUUGCAACAGCUUCCUAUGAACAAAAAGAUAAAAGUAUCACAAUUGAGUAGACGAACCUAGAAGUCUUGCCAUGUUUCAACAUUUAAUAUACCAACUUUCUUACCGUCAAAGCGAUCAUGCCAGAUACAAUACCAAUCUUGAUCCCUUUUAGGAGAUAAUUGCCGGUGAAAUAUAUUUCCUCGACAGAAGGAGGAUUGAUUCCUUUCUCAAUGUGUCUCACCUGGUAAGGUCAUUACAGAAUUACAUGAAAUAUUAUUUCACUAUGUUCAAGCUGAGUGAUACCAGAAACUUACACAAGAAAAAAAUUAAAUAAUGCCACGAAGCAACUAACGAAAGCACUUACAAUCUCUACUCCUAGUUUUUCAGCAUGGGUUAUGUAGACAAAGAAGGUGGAAAGAACGACAGAGAUUAGAGGAGCAAUUGCAGGUACCCAAAAGAGCUUUUUAUGCUUCUUUCCCUGAUUUUCAAAGUCAUUUAAGAAUCAACAAGAAGCUACCAAAUACUUUAGGUUCAAUUAUAGACAAAAGUUAGAAGUCUUACAGCGUACUUCGCGAACAAAAGGAACGUUAAAAAGAUUGCUCCAAUGAGAAUUGUCGGCCAGUUCCACUGCAAGUUUUUUGUCAAAAAUAGGUGUCGUUAUUAUCGUUUAUGCAUAUAAAACCUCUUAGGUAGGAUGCCUAGACGGGCAAGAUAACUUACUCCAUGGUGGGCUGAAUGCCAUACUGAUUUCAUCACCGAAAUGAUAUCAGUUUUCUUAGUAAACUUCUUGAUGCCAAGAAAACCUUUAAGUUGCUGGAGGGCAAUAGUGAUGGCCGCACCACCCAUGAAACCAACAAUAGCAGCAUGUGAUAGGAAGUCAAUUAAAAAUCCUAAUCUGCAAAGGAUUCAAAACAAUAUUAAAACGAGCUGUUUGUUGGAAAGUCGUAACAGAAAAAGAAACCAAAAUUUUUUUGCAUCAAAUAAGAUGAAGUCGAAAUAUAAGGGCACAACUACAAGCUCUUAAUCCUUAAUAUUCUUCUAUACCUUAGGAUUCCAAGGGCAGCUUGGGUAAUGCCAGCAAAAAAGGUAGCUGUAAAUGCAAGCCUCCUGUAUUCAAUUGGAUUUUUGGUUGGAUCGAUUUCACUGCUGAGGAGAGACCCAAGCAAUAGGGAUACAACAGCAACAGGUCCUAUGGCUAUAUCUCUCGAGCUACCCAUUAAGGCAUAAACCAAAGGUGGAACAAAACUGGAGUCUGGCAAAUUUAAAGCAAAACAAGUAUGAGAAAGGCUCUUUUGAUACAAUACUAAAAUGUACUAAAUAGAAAAUUGACGCUUACAUAGCCCAUACUGAGGAGCUAAGUUUGCAAGCUUCGAAUAUCCAAUGUCCUGUUAAACCAGAUGCAAUAUGAUCAAGCUCAUCAAAAGUAAAACUCCAAACUUCAUUUGAUUUACACAAGUCAUGUGUGCACGUUCUAUACCUGAGGAAUGCAGAGACUUGCAAUAGUGAGACCAGCAAUAAGAUCGCCUCUGAAUUUGGAAACAUUAUAGCUUUUACCCCAAUCUAGUAUGGGAAAUACCGCCUGCAAACCAAGGAGAAACUUACGAGACCUUGGCUGAUCCUUAAAGGGACGUAGAGGAUCAUCUGAAAACAAUGUUUCCUUCACAUUAGUCUUAAAUUCAUCGAAUAGGUUCUGUUUAGGUGGAACUCCAACCUUGUGCAUGUAUGGUGGUUGUUCGUGUUCCGAGGAUGAUAAACUUCGGUAGUCCAUUUCUUUUGUAUCUAUUGCCUCAACGCUAGAUCGACCCAUCUUAGAUUAUAAUGGUCUAAUUAACCUGUAACACAGAGGUAAUAUAAUUUCUAAUACAUUAGUACGAGAAAUAUUAAGUUCCAACACAAGUUUGUCAUUGAGCCAAAUCAAUAAAAUGCAUUUAUAAGUUCCAAUUCAAGCUUAUUAUUGAGCGAAAUCAACAAAUGCAUUAGGUUAUAUGAUCAAAUUAAUAGCUUCUACUCAACUACUAAACAAAUCCUCCAAAUCUUAGCAUUAUCCUGUACUACAUCCUCUAAAACUUCAGAGCAACUAAUAAGAGAAAGAUGACGAUAAAAAACAAUCAAGGCACUAAAGAAGGAUCAAUGACAAUAUACCACAUACCAUUUCAAAUUACAUGCAUGCAGAAACUGAAGGAUAGCUAUAUUACCAUAAGAUAACUUUGAAACCUCGUAUUUUAGAGUACUGAUCGGAAAGUUCUUGCUUGUCACUUAUAUACAUCAUCAGAAAGUUAGAGCUUCAAGGUUUGGAAUUUUUAGCGACUCGUAUUAUUAUUUCUCGAAAGCACGUUGAACAUGAUAGAUUUUAAAGACAAGACUGACAAACAAAAAUGAAAAAAUAGCAGCUAAACGUUUCAAGGGAUAUAUUCUUUUCUGUCUGGUAAAUAUUUAGCAAUACAGUAAACUCAAAGUGGUUUGGUCCUUCCUGAUCCACUGAAUAACGGGAGCUUAGUGCAUAGUCUUUUCAAAUGGCGGGAUACAGAAUUUCAAAAAUAGUGAUGUUUCUCCAUUUCCAAGAUCAGAAGGAACAUUUGAUGUGGACAUCUUAAAAAGGCCUUUUACACCUUGUCAUGUUGAAGUUAGCUAAUUUUUUGCAUAAACUAAUAUAUAAGCAGGAAUCCACAUAAAGAAAGAAUAAAGUAGAAAACAGUUUGGUUGGUCACACAACUAUUUUCUGCAAUUAUAUUACAAGUAAUUAUUUGCAUGAUAAAUUUCUUAGCUUAAAUUACUCCCUUUAUUCAUGUCUACUCUCCAUCCCAACUCCCUUUCUUCUUUACUAUAUGAGGGAAAAAGUUAAAUUCCAAAACAAGAAGGGUAUAAUAAAUCAAAAUAACUAAAAGCCAGUCCCCAACCACCUCCUUAAAUUUUACUUUUUCCGAAUUUAUCAAUUUAAAAAGAGAAAAGUGACAAAUCUCAGUACAGUGGUUCCAUUAAUGCAACUGAUUACAAUGUUACUCCACCUCUUUUAUUAUUAUUUUUUACUCUUUACACACUUAACAAGAAUUGGAAUCUGAUAAUAAUAUAAUCCUAAAAUCAAAUAUAGUGAAAUUAAAUUAAUAAAACUCAACAUUUUCACUAUACAUUUUCUUUUUAUUUGUCAAAGGACUAAGGCCAAAUUAUAACCUCAUUCCAUAUAUAUAUAUAUAUAUAUAUAUCAUUGAUGGGGGAAUGGCAUAUUAUUAGUGCCAAUUCUAACAAACCCCACUUUGGUCAGGGUCCAUGCAGAACCAAAUAUUUUUUUUCAAGUGGUGUCCCGUACCUACAUUGAAAUUGACUAAAUUCGGACAGAAAAUUCCACAUUAGGAUAAAGCAAUCCCUAAUAAAGAUGACUCCGCACCCAAAUUGCGAGACUUUUAGCUAAGGAUGAAGUAGUACUUAGCCUCCACCACAGCCAGAGGCGGAGCCAGUCCUCUUUAAGGUUUGUCCGAACCCCCUUCGACGGAAAAAUAUACUAUUUAUACAUGAUUAAAAUUAUUUUUUACGUGAUUAUAGUAGGUUGAAUCCCCUUCGACUUAAUUUUCUUUGACUAUUGAACCUUCUACUUAAAAUCCUGGCUCCGCCUCUAACCACAACCCUAGUUGAUACCUACUAAAUUAAUUAAACAAACAAGAAACUAAAGGAAGGUGUAAAAUGCUCUAAGAAAAAAGCACACUUAAAACAAUAAAAUAAAGAUACACCAGAAGAUAUCAAGAAAAAGACACAUAUAGAAACAGACAAUGAGAUUAAAAUAACUACCUAACUUUUUGUCGCACGCUUAAUGAUCCUCGUACUUCUUCUGGGCAUAAAAAAAGGAAUUCCAAUAAACACAGAAAAAGUACACUUAGAAAAAUAAAAUGAAAUUGACCCUUCAAGAUCAAGAAUCCAAUCAAGUAACAAUCUCAAAUCAUGUCUAGGUUCAAUGUAUUAAAUUAAGAAGAAAAAGAAAAAAAAAAUGCAAAAAUGUUGAAAAUUUUCAAUCAAGAAAGAUGUCUAGAUGAAUGCAUGUGAUUUUGUAAACAAGAAAAACAAUAUUAUUAGGUAAUGAGAAAAAAAAAUGUGUAGUGUCUUUCUUGUUUGUGAAAAAGGUGGGGUAAUAUAAGGAGGAAGUAGUAGUAAUGUUUGCACCUACUUUUUUGUUAAUUAGUUCUCAGCGAUUCUUGUGGUACAUUAAUUUCCUCAAGUGUAGGGCCUAUAUAAUGUGUGAAUCUUUACUGUGUUGCUGUCCAUGUUCAUUAACAUGAGAUGCUUGACCAAAUUCCUAUGUUUAAAAGGGUAAUAAGAGGUUUAUUGCGGACCUGGAUUUGGGCUUUCCACUGUGAACCUCUGGGCCCACUUCUAUUAGAUCAGGAUCUAAUUUGAAGGUCCAACUGAAAGGAACACUCAAGACUGCAUUUGUUUUUAGGGAAACUUUUAAGAAAAUAGUCAUUGCUUCAGCAAAUUGGAGUGCGCCUAGUCCAACUGAAAGGAACACUCAAACUGCAUUUGUUUAUAGGGAAAUUUUGAGAAAAUAGUCAUUGUUUCAACAAAUUAGAGUGCGCCUAGCCUAUGUUUAAAAAAUUAUCAUCUAUAACUAAUGUAUCAAUUGUAUGCAACUGACUGUAUUUGAUAUAAAAUAUAUGCAAUUGUAUGCAACUAAUGUAUCAAUUUCUAUCAACGAAUUGUAGCACUAUCAAUAAUAGAUACACAUUCAGUACACAUACAUACAACAACACUAAUACAUUUAGUAUCAAUAAUGAAUAUUAAUCUUAUAUAUAAGCCAAGAGCAAAAGGACCAACACUGCAUAGGCCAAUUGUACCAAAAGAAAUAAAAGUUGUACUAACAAGUGUUAGACUAUGUUGCAUCAGAUGGUAGUCCAAAGAGCUAUCUAGGAUGUACAGUAAAAUCCUUUAAGCUCUUUUCUCUGUCUGGCCCAGUUUUAUUGGCUAUAAUGAUGUUAUAUGCUCGUGUAAAAAACUGAAAUAGCAUCUUAUGAUCAAAAGGUCUAAAGAGCAAACUAAUUCUCCCAGUUGAACCGACCCAAGCUGCUCAAUCUCUAUUCCUUUCUCUUUCGAACUUGAAUUGGUGAUUCUUUCUUUAUAUGGAUCUGUUUUUAUGGUAUGUGAUGAUGGUAGUACACCUACUUUACUCCUACAAUGUCGUUUGGAUAUAUUGUUUUCAGUUCAUAUAUGAUAUUUGUUAGAUUUUGUGAUUUUUGAAUACUUUAUUAUAGGAUUUUGUACUUGCAUGUUUCUAAUUUUGUUUGAUUUACAAAUGGAUGUUUGGAAAUUGAUUCACUUCUCUCUUUUCUUUGUUUAGUUUACAUUUUUUGAAUUUCAUAGGUAUUAAUGAUCAUAAAAAACUUGAUUGACUUUUGAAUUUUGAUUGAUAAUAUCGUUUGGUUAGUUCACCGUCCUGAUUUGAUAUUUGAGAUUCAUUUUUUGAUUUUCAUAGUCCAAUCUUUUGGUUGUUAAAAAGUGAUUAUGAUCUUAAUUAUGGCUCAAGCUAACGGUAGCACAAAGCUCAAAAAGUAAUGUGGCGAUAUUCAAAGGAAAACCAUUGUUUUGGGUCAUAACCAAAUUUUCUCCCACAUUUCUUCUGUGCCAUAACAAAAUUUCCUCCCACACUAGCAGAGUUCUAACAAAUGGUUAAGCAAUUUUCUCCAUGUGGUAAGCCAGUUUUUCGGAUACCACUAGUUUUUCAGACACCAACUUCCCAUAUGAACCAAAAUUGAUUUUUCUUUCCUCUUUCAAGAAUGAAAUGAAUUUAGAGAUGGUCACAGUUGUUCCAACUUAGUGUGUGUGACAAAAUUCUCAGGCAAAGGAAGAUAAUUACAACAAGUAUGAUAUCUUUUUUUCUGCAGCUAUCAAUACCAAGUUCAUUGCUUAGCUUAAUAGUAUGGAUAUUAGUCAUUGAGAUUUCUUUUGUCAUGUUAUUGUCUACUUUAUGCUACAUAUAAGGACAUAUAUCUUGGAUUGAAAAUUGACACCAAUUUUGUUGAAUUGUGCUCUCAUUGAAUUUGCCACAUUUGCUUAUUUGGUGUUAGAAUUAUUUUCACAAUAGCAACUACCUUCUCAAACUGUGGACAAAGAAUAGGAUUACUAGACAAGAAAAAGGACAAUAUGUUUCUUUACAGUGUUCUAUUAAAAGUUAACCAAUAAAAAAUGUGUUGUGUUAGCAUAUUUCUCUGAAAAUUAUUUAACUGAGAAGGCUUAUAUUAUGAAAAAAGUGGAGAAGACUUCUGAAGUUUAUACUUUUUAUUUGUAAUUUUGUAAGGAAAAUUCUAACUUAAAUUGGUAUAUUCUUCUUUGUGCAGUUUAUAAAUUUUCAUGAUAAAGAUGCUACUUUCAGUUUGCUGAUACAUGUAUUGAAUUCCAAACUUGAUUUCGUAUAUGUAUAUCAGCAAAUUAAGUCGAUUUCAACAUUUUGUUCGAAAUCAUUUUUGGUACAUUAAAAUAUUCACAAUUUGAAGUGUAUUUUGAUUAUUUACUCGAACUCUGUUAUAAUCUGUGUGUUGGAUUUACCUGCCUUUGUUUCCUCUUCUUUUUACCUUUAGUGGCCUAGAAAUAGGUGUCUAAUAAAUCAAGAAGUGCUGCAUUUUUACUUACAAAAAUACUUUAGUACUAAAUACUUACUAUUGUCCCUUUAAUUAAUGUUUUUUCAGAGAAAUUAAGGUGGUCCAAUCCAAGAUACAUUAAAUCAUUUUCAGUUGAUAGCAUGGCUAACAACCUUUCAGAGGGACCAUCAGAUGAUUUCUUUGAAAAAAUCUUGGGAUUCCCUGCAUACAAUGGAGCUGAACCCAAUUUGGAGAGAAACGAUCCCAGAGCUAUACCCUCGGCGAUGAUGCUCCAAUUAAACAUCGAUGAUAAGUUAGGGCAGUUUAGUGAAGUUGGUCUUGGUGUUGGACUAGGUGUUCUUGGGGGUGGGGGUAGGGAUUCCAUCAUGUAGGGGUAGUGGUGGUAGUAGUUCAUUUCCAUUGGGGUUGAGUUUAGAACAAGGGAAAGAUGAUGGUAGGUUCUUGAAGAUGGAUGAUGUUUCAACACCUGGAAGAAGAUUUAGAGAUGAUGUUAUUGAUAGCAGUCCUUUGUAAGACCCCGCAGAAUCCUAGACAUUUGAGUCCUUUAAAGCAUGCCUAAAAGAGGUCCUAGACUUAGACAAUUUCAGCUAAGUGUUAGGACUUAGGCAUUUCUAAAGCCCUCAAACUUUGAAGAAUUUAUUUACGACCUUCUUGACCUCAAAAAGUUAGUUUUUAAGUUGAUUCAUGAUCGGGGAAGUCAAUAGUACAUCUCGGGUGAGUUUUAGAAUUUUUGGACAAGCGUAAGGGCGUGUUUGAAACUCCAAAAUAGUGUCCUGAGGCGAUUAUCCUACAACGCCCUACCUAGUUUGGUGUUGGGGGGAGCUCGCGAUGCAGACCACAGCAUCCUGCCCAGAGCGGUGCUCUAGAUCCCGCGGCGCUCUAGAUCCCGCGACGCCCUGGCUAGUCCGGUUUGGGUAAAUUCUAUAAUUUUGUUCCGUAUUUUUAAGGGCAAAUGGGUCAUUUUUCCUUCACCCAAUAGGUCCAUAACACGAGAUUAAAGCCCCAAAUAGCAUAAUUGCUCAUCCUUUUCACAAAAUCCUCUCAAGAACAAGCCCUAUCUUCAUCAAGUUCAAGAAUCAAGUCUCAAGAACUCACCUCAAUCUCCACGAAAUUAACAAUCAAGAUAUGUUAGGUAUUCAUCCAAGGGUUUUCUUUCUCCCUUGGAGUUCAAGAACCUCUUUUAAACUAUAAGAUGAUUGCUUUCAUGAAUUUCUUGUUGAAUUUGGUUGUAUUCAUAAUUAUGAUGUUAUUUAGGUUUCUAAUCCAUUUUUUAUGACAAGAUUCAUGUGAAGUAAUUAACCUAUGUAUAGUCAUGUGGAUUUAUGUUAAAAGUCCCUUGAAAUUGUGAGUUUGGAUUGUAGUCAUGAUGCUUACAUAUUUAUUAUCAUUAUGUGUAUGAAUUAUACUCCCUAAGUGUUUGAUAAAAUGUUCAUGUGGGUUGAAUACAUAAAUAUUAACAUGUUAGCAUGUAUAUAAGUUUAUACCAUAUAUGUUUGAUAAAAUAUUCAUGUGGGUUGAAUAGAGAAAUCAUAACAUGUUAGCAUGUAUACAAGUUUAUACCAUGUAUGUUUGAUAAAAUUCCUCAAUGGAUGAAUUGUGAUAAAGUGGUUAGUUAUCAUGCAUUCAAGGUUUGCUAUGUUUUACUUUUAAUGCCAUCGAGUCCUGGGGGCAUUCAAUACCCAAAAUCUAGCUGUUUACUUAGAAUUUCAGUAGCUAUAGAAUAGUCUCAGUGAUGUCAUAUACAGUAGUACUCAAUCAGUUACAGAACUCAGUGUAUUCAGUCAGUUAACAGAACUUAGUGAACUAAGUCCAGUUCAGUCAGUUAGCAUGAUCAGUAACAGCUUAGUCCAACCUAGUACAGUUUAGAAAUCAGUUCAGUGUCUAUUUCAGUUGGGAGUAGGAUUCAGCACCGAGUGAGCCUAAGGAUGAGGACUUACUUGCCAGUAGAGGGUGUAAUCCUUAGAAGCAGUCUUGCAUUCCAGAACUACAUAACCAGCGUAGGUUGAGACAUUAACCUACCAGUUGAGGGUUGAUGAGAUGUCUUACCUGCCAGUUGAGGGUACCGUCGUUCUUAGUCAGAGCACCUACCAGAUGAGGGUGACUCAGUAGCUUGUAUUUACCCGUGGCACAGUACUGACACCCUUUCAACUGGAGUUACAGGUUGGAUCCCAAUCAGUUCAGAGAGGGGCAUGUCGGUUAGAUGAUUACCUCUUAUAUUUUAGUUUUAGUCUCAGCAUAGAACUCAUUUAAGUUUUACGACAUCAGGACUGUCAAAAACAGUCACCCAGUUCAGUAUAGAACUCAGUUUAGUUUUGUAAAAUUAGGACUGUCAGAAGCAGUCACCCAGCUAACAGUAAUACAGUUAUCAGUGAACUCAGAUAUCAGUCAUUCAGUUGUCAGAACUCAGUACCCAGUGUUAAUAUGAUCUCAUUUAUAGUAUACAUAGUUAUGUUCAUAGUAUUGCAUAAUCAGUAUUUACAGCAGUUUCAUAUAUACAUGUACUCUCAUUCAGUUAUAUUCAUGUUACUCAACCAGUAUUGUUCAUGCAUAUAAACCCAUGCAUUCAUCCUUAUCUCACUUAGCAUACCAGUACAUUUAAAGUAAUGUUGUGUACCUUUGUUUUGUGCUAUGAUGUCUUAUAUCAUAGGUUUAGACGCACGGGCUCCUAAUCGUACUUAGCAGCCCAGAUUAUCAGCAAUAUACUUAGUGGUGAGUCCUCAUAGUCUAAGGACAGAGUUGUUAUUUUAGUAUAUUUUCAUUAGUCAGAGUUAGUUGAGGACUUGUCCCAUCAACUCCAUCUAUAGAGGCUUUCAGACUAGAUUAUGUCAGACAGAUACUCAGCUUUCAGUAUUUAUUUACCACUAUUUGAUUUAAGUUAUGAAACUUAUGGCAGUUCCAGCCUAAUUUCCACAUUAUUACAGUAUUGUUACUCAAUUAUUACAGAAGGUGCCAGUCAUGGGUUAGCUUGUGGUCCUUCAAGAUUAUGAGUAUCGUGUGACGUUUGAGGUGCAGACUCGGGGCAUUACAAACUUGGUAUUAGAUUCUAAGGUUCAACAGAGUCCUAAGGAGUCUGAAAGCCGCGCCUAGUAGAGUCUUGUGCAUGGGUGUGUAGCAUGCCACACUUAUAGACAAGAGGCUAUGGGGCAUUUUAGGAACAAGUUCCCUUCUUUCAAUAUUCAUAUCGUGUGAGAGAGCAUGAGAUUAUGUUAAACUCUUAGUCCAAUUCUUUUUUCAUUUCGCCUACAGAAUAUGCCUCCCAAAAGGACCAACGGAAGAAGGACUGGGAAUCAGCCAGCACCUCCGCACACCCUGCCAGAUCCCCUGGAUGAGCAUGUUUCCCAUGCCGAAUUCAAAGCAGCUUUCACCACUCUAGCUCAUUCUGUGGUAGCCCAGAAUGAAUGUCCAACUGCCAUCCAGGCUGACCUAGUGGACAAUACUGCUGCAUCUAGAAUUUAGGACUUUACCCAAAUGAAUCCUAAAUUAUUUAACGAGUCUAAGUCUGAAGAGAACCCAUAAAAAUUCCUUGAUCAGGUGCAGAAAGUCACAGAUAUUAUGAGGGUGAAUGCUAGUGAGAGUGUUGAGUUGGCCGCAUAUCAGUUGUAGGAUGUGGCUCACUUAUGGUUCAAGUAGUGAAAGGCAGAGAGGGUCGCUGAUGCAGGGCCCAUAGAAUGGGAGGAGUUUGCUACUACUUUUCUUGAUAGGUUCUUCCCACUAGAGUCAAGAGAUGGGAAGGUUUUAGAGUUUUUAAUAUAAAACAAGGCAACAUGACAGUGAAAGAGUAUUUUUCAAGUUUACUCAGUUAGCCAGAUAUGCCCCUUAUAUGGUAGCAGAUAGCAGAUCAAAGAUGAGUAAGUUUGUGUCGGGUGUGUCUAAUAGUGUGGUCAAGGAGUGUAGCACCACAAUUCUGAUUAAGAAGAUGGACAUAUCCAGGCUCAUGGUCCAUGCUCAGCAGAUAAAAGAGGAUAAGAAUAAGGAGAAGGAGAGGGAGAACAAGAGGUCUAGAACAGGUAGCUUUAACUUCGCUCAGCCUAAGUCAGAGGGUGGAAAUUGUUCUCAGCUUUGCCUAAAAUCUUUAGUUCCAACUCUGUCCUCAGCCAGUGCUCCAGUGCCAAAAUUUAGAGACGACAAUAAGAAUAGGGCACUAGGCCCUAAGACCCAGGGUAGUGUUAGCAGUGCCCGGAUAAAUUCUCUUUGCCACAAGUAUGGCAAAAACCAUCAGGGUGUCUGCAGAGCUGACAGUGAUGUGUGUUUCGGAUGUGGAAAGCCAGGACAUAGAAUUGGAGAUUGUCCUCAGUCAGGUUCUCAAGGUCAGUAUAAUCGUCCUUCAACUUAGUCCGAUCGCCCAAAUCAGUAGGGUGCCACUUCUAGUGCAAUCAGUGGGCAAUGCCCAAACAGACUCUAUGCACUUCAGUCCCGACAGGAUUAGGAAAUUUCUCCUGAUGUGGUUACUGGUACGUUACAAGUUUAUCAUUUACAUGUUUAUGCUUUGCUAGAUCUAAGAUCUUCUUUGUCCUUUGUAACUCCUUAUAUAGUUGUUGACUUCGGAGUCAGUCCCGAAAUCCUAGAAGAGCCCUUCUCAGUCUCUACCCCAGUAGGUAAAUCUAUCAUAGCCCGACGGGUAUACAGGAACUGUCCAGUUAUGGUAUCUCAAAAAGCCACUUCAGCAGACUUAGUAGACUUAGAGAUGGUGACAGAUUUUGAUGUCAUUCUUGGCAUGGAUUGGCUUCAUUCAUGCUAUGCUUCAGUUGACUGCAGAAAUAAAAUUGUCCAUUUUCAGUUUCCAAAUGAACCUGUCCUUAAAUGGAGGGGUAGUACCUCAGCACUUAGGGGUCGUUUGGUUGGGAAUGUAGUAAUACUAGGAUUAGUUAUGCUAGGAUAAGUUAUGAUGGGAUAAGUUAUACUGGGAUUAUUUUUUAUUGAGUGUUUGGUUUGUUGUAUUCAAAGUAAUACGCAUGGUAUAAUUUCUCAGAAUAAAUUAAUUGAUUAACAAAAUACCCUCCACCUUAUUGACUUAUAUAUAUAUAUAUAUAUGUAUAUAUUUCUUUUCAAGCUUUAAAUGUUUAUCCUUAAAAAUAAAACUUCUAUCUUAGUUAGCUUAAUUUUUUUUUGUGUGUGCAUUUUCAUAAUUAUAUCAUGUGUAUUUUAAGAAUAAAACUUUCAUUUUAUUUAACUUUAAUUUUUUUGCGUGUGUCUUCCCAUGAUUAUGUCGUGUUUGUUUAAAUUUAGUUUGAAAUAAAGCCUUUCAACUUAAGUUUGUUAAAGUAAAAGAGGAUUUGUUGUUUAUGUCUCUUCAUUUAAACACGUAUCACUCAUAUAAUAUAGAAUAUUAAAAUUCAUUUAGUUGAUAUAUACAAUAUCAAUUUUUAAGUGAUUAAAAAAUUAUUUAAUUUAAAAUAUGCAAUUCAACGAUGGAUUCGAUAUUUUUAUUAUUUUUUAGAGAAAUUAAAAUAUAUAAAUAAACAUAAUAAUUAUUCAAAUAAAUUUAAUGUAUCAUAUAUUCAUAAAUAAAAUAUUUCUUAAAUGUAUAUGAAUCUCUAAUAUUUCAUGUUAAAUUACUUAUUUUGUUCUAAAUUUCAUAAAAUAUUGAUAAUCUCAUUUUUUGUUAAAAAAAUUCAUCAUAAAAAAAUGUGAAAAAGAAUUACUCUCAUUUUUCAUUAUUUAGUAUCACUAAUAUUUGGAGAGUCAAAUUAUAUUUUAAAAAAAAAUAAUUAAACUUUCAAAUAUUUUUAGCUAAAUAUACAAAUAUUUUUUUAUUUAAUAAUUAAGCAUGUAUUAAAUUAGAAAGGGAAUGUCAACAUACUUUAAUAACUUGUCAUGAUUUUAUUAAAUACCUUAUAUUUUAUAUAAGAAAAAUAAGGUAAUAUAUAAAAAUAAGGUUUUAUAUAUAUAUAUAUAUAUAUAUAUAUAUAAAGUGAUAGUCUAAGAAUUUGGAGGGCAAUUGUGUCUUUUUCUAAUUUUAUCCCAAAGAUAAAUAAUGAUGAGUUUGUUAUCCCACCAAAUGGGUGGAUAACUUAUCCCGGUACUAUUUAUUAGUCCCGGAAUAAGUUAUUCCUAAUAUUUCCAUCCAAACAUGCAUUAAAAUUUUUAUCCUGGGAUUAUUUAUUUUUGUACCUUAAACCAAACGGCCCCUUAAGGUUCAGCUUGUUUUCUACCUAAGGGUGAGGAAAAUGAUAUCAAGGGGUGUGUCUUCCAUUUGGUUCGAGUUAAGGAUUCUAGUUUCGAGACUCCUAGUCUUGAGUCAGUUCUAGUAGCAUGUGAAUUCUCAGAUGUAUUUUCUGAAGACCUUCCCGGUGUUCCUCCUAAGAGAAAAAUUAACUUUGAAAUAAACCUUCUCCCUAAUACUCAACCUAUCUCUAUCCCACCAUAUAGAAUAGCUCCAGCAGAACUCAUAGAAUUAAAAUAACAGUUGAAGGAUCUCCUAAAUAAGGGAUUCAUCAGACCCAACGAAUCCCCUUGGGGUACACUAGUUCUAUUCGUGCGUAAGAAAGACGGUUCUCUCAGAAUGUGUAUUGACUACCGUCACUUGAACAAAGUCACGGUCAAGAACAAAUAUUCACUUUCCAGAAUUGAUGACUUAUUUGACCAACUUCAGGGUGCCAGUUAUUUUUCUAAGAUAGACCUGAGAUCAGGCUACCAUCAGCUCAGAGUCAGAGAAUGUGACAUUCCUAAAAUAGCUUUGAGAACUCGGUAUGGUUACUUCGAAUUCUUGGUCAUGUUAUUUGGUCUUACCAAUGCCCCAACAGCAUUCAUGGACUUGAUGAACCGUGUGUUCAAGCAGUACUUGGACAUGUUCAUUAUAGUAUUUAUUGAUGACAUUCUUGUCUACUCCCGUAGUGAAAGUGAUCAUGCAGACCAUCUCAAAUAGUAUUACAAACUCUUAGAGCCCAUCAAUUGUUCGCCAAAUUUAGUAAAUGUGAAUUUUGGCUAAGGUAGUAGCUUUCCUCGGUCAUAUAGUUUCCUGUGAUAGUAUUAGAGUUAAUCCCCAAAAGAUCAAAGUAGUAAGGAGCUGGCCUAGAUCCAUCUCUCUGUCAGAUAACAGGAGUUUCUUGGGUUUGGUUGGCUAUUACCGACAGUUUGUUAAGGGAUUUUCGUCUAUUGCAUACCCCAUGUCCAGAUUGAUUCAGAAGAAAGUCAAGUUUCAGUGGUCAGAUUCUUGUGAGAAGAGUUUUCAGGAGUUGAAGACUCGACUCACUACAACCUCAGUUUUGACUUUACCAGAUGGUUCAGAUUGGUUUGUGGUAUAUUGUGAUGCUUCCAGAGUUGGGUCGGGGUGUGUUUUGGUGCAGAGGGGUAAGGUCAUAGCCUAUGCCUCUAGACAACUUAAAACCCAUGAAAAGAAUUACCCUACCCAUGAUCUUGAAUUAGCAGUUGUAGUGUUUGCCUUAAAUAUUUUGAGGCACUAUCUGUAUGGGGUGCCUGUUGAUGUGUUCACAGACCAUAAAAUCCUGCAGUAUGUGUUUUCUUAGAAAGACCUAAACCUAUAUCAAAGAAGGUGGUUAGAGUUGUUAAAAUACUAUGACAUGAGUGUUCUGUAUCAUCCGGGAAAGGCCAAUAUAGUGGCUGAUGUUCUCAGUAGGAUGUCUAUAAGUAGUGUUGCUCACGUUGAGGAUGGUAAGAAGAAGUUAGUUCAGGAAGUUCAUCAGAUUUCCCGACUAGGUGUUCGCUUAGUUGAUUCAGCAGAGGGUAGCGUAUGGGUGCAGAAUAGUUUGGAAUCAUCUUUGGUUUCCGAAGUAAAAGAAAAACACUAUAGGGAUCCCAGUUUAGUUAAACUGAAAGAGUCAGUCAGAGAUUAGAGAGUAAAGGUUUUUUCCCAAGGGGGAGAUGGUGUAUUGCGUUAUCAGGGUCAGUUAUGUGUGCCAUAUAUGGAUGGUGUGAGACAAUGGAUUCUUGCAGAAGUGCAUGGUGCGCACUACUCGAUUCACCCAGGGGCCACUAAGAUGUUCCACGACUUACAAGAAAUCUAUUGGUAGAGUGAGAUAAAGAGAGACAUUGCAAAGUUUGUAGCUAAGUGCUCGACAUGUCAGCAGGUUAAGAUCAAGCAUCAAAAGCCUAGUGGACCUAUGCAGGAGUUCAGUAUUUCCACUUGGAAGUGGGAGGAGGUGAACAUGGAUUUUGUGAUGGGCUUGCCCCAUACUCACCGCCAGCAUGAUUCGAUUUAGGUCAUUAUGGAUAGGAUGACCAAAUCAGCCCACUUUUUACCAGUUCACACCUCUUAUUAAGUCAAAGAUUAUACCAAGCUCUAUGUUAGAAAGUUGGUCAGAUUACAUGGAGUUUCAUUGUCGAUCAUUUCAGACAGAGGUAUGCAGUCACCUCUUAUUUUUGGAAAGCAUUCCAAAAGGGUCUUGGUACCCAAGUUCACCUCAGUACAACCUUUCACCCCCAGACAGAUGGUCAAGCAGAAAGGACUAUUUAGACUUUAGGAGAUAUGCUAAGAUUGUAUUCCAUUGACUUUAAGGGCAAGUGGGAUGACCAUUUGCCCUUGAUUGAGUUCGUGUAUAAUAACAACUAUCAUUCCAACAUUUAGAUGGCUCCGUUUGAGGCACUUUAUGAGAGGAGAUGUAGAUCUCCCAUUGGUUGAUUUGAAGUGGGUAAGGUCGUAGUGGUAGGGCCUGACUUGGUAUUUGAUACCUUAGAAAAAUUUCAGUUGAUCAGGUAAAGGCUUAAGAUAGCUUAGAGCCAACAGAAAUCAUAUGCAGAUGUGCGAAGAAAAGAUCAAGAGUUUGAGAUUGGUGAUUGUGUGUAUUUGAAAAUCUCACUUAUGAAAGAAGUGAAGUGGUUUUGCAAGAGGGGAAACUCAGUCCCCGAUAUGUCGGUCCUUACUGAAUUAUCAGCCAUUUUGAAAAGGUAGCUUACGAGCUUGAGUUACCUUUAAACUUAGUUUCAGUACAUCCAGUGUUUCAUGCUUCCUUACUAAAGGAGUGCAUAGGUAACCCAGUAGCUGUAGUCCCUAGAAAGGGUAUAGAUGUUCAGAACAGUCUCUUUUAUGAGGAUGUUCCAGUCAAAAUUCUUGAUUUUUAGGUUCACAGACUGAGGAACAAAAAGGUUUCUCAAGUCAAAGUUCUUUAGCAGAAUCAGUCCGUUGAGGGAGCUACUUGGGAAAUAGAAGCAGAUAUGCGGACCAAAUAUCCUCACCUCUUUUAUGCAAACUCAGACUCAGUUCAAGGUAAUAGUUUUCCUUGAAUUUACUCAGAUUUUCUUUAUAACUCUGUACGGUUCAGUUGCAUAACAUCCUCAUAUCAUGCAUACCUUCAUGAAACAGCUGAGUCAUGCGUCAUGUCUUCAAAACUCAGUCAUGCUUCAGUUAUGCAUGUUCAGUAUGAUAACUCAGUAUAUUAAUAGUUUUAGUCAUAUAAUCAUGCUUCAGUUGUGCAUUGUUCAGUGUAUAAAUUCAAUCUAUCAACAUUCUCAGCUUUGUCAGUCUCAUUCGAGGACGAAUGUUCCCAAGGGGGAGAUAUUGUAAGAUCCCGCAGAAUCCUAGACGUUUGAGUCCUAUAAAGCAUGCCCAAAAGAGGUCCCAGACUUAGACAAUUUUAGCUAAGGGCAAAUGGGUCAUUUUUCCUUCACCCGGUAGGUCCAUAACAUGGGAUUAAAGCCCCAAAUAGCAUAUUUGCUCAUCUUUUUCACAAAAUCCUCUCAAGAACAAGCCCUAGCUUCAUCAAGUUCAAGAAUCAAGUCUCAUGAACUCACCCCAAUAUCCACGAAAUUAACAAUCAAGGUAUUUUAAGUGUUCAUCCAAGGGUUUCCUUUAGCCCUUGGAGUUCAAGAACCUCUUUUAAACUACAAGAAGAUUGCUUUCAUAAAGUUCAUGUUGGAUUUGGUUGUAUUCAUGAUUAUGAUGUUAUUUGGGUUUCUAAUCCAUGUUUUAUGACAAGAUUCAUGUGAAGUAAUUAACCUAUGUAUAGUCAUGUGGAUUUAUAUUAAGAGUCCCUUGAAAUUGUGAGCUUGGAUUGUAGUCAUGAUGCUUACAUAUUUACUAUCAUUAUGUGCAUGAAUUAUGCUCCCAAGUGUUUGAUAAAAUGUUCAUGUGGGUUGACUAGAGAAAUCAUAACAUGUUAGCACGUAUAACAUUUUAUACCAUGUAUGUUUGAUAAAAUGUUCAUAUGGGUUAAAUAGAGAAAUCAUAACAUGUUAGCAUGUAUACAAGUUUAUACCAUAUAUGUUUGAUAAAAUGCCUCAAUGGAUGAAUUGUGACAAAGUGGCUAGUUAUCAUGCUUUCAAGGUUUGCUGUGUUUUAAUUUCAAUGCUAUCGAGUUCUGGGGGUAUUUUUCACGCCGCUUUUUUUUUUUUAACUCCAAAAGGAUUUUAAGUUUCGAAAGGAUUUUUAUUAUUAAAGUGACAAAAGUGAAGAUUUAUUUCGAAAAGGACUUCUUAUAUUCCAAACUCAGAGUCGCCACUUGGCAUAAUCUGGUGUGCCAAGCCACCUUUGAAAAUCCUUUUCAAAAUGAUUUUGACUCUAUAACUGAUCCGCAAAUAGAGAUUCCAACUAAGGAAUUCUGUUGACCGAGGGGAAGGUGUUAGGCACCUCUCGAUCUCGUGGUUCGACCACGGUCGCUUGAUAGAGUGUAUCGGAUAAUUUGACAUUACAAAUAUAUAAACCACACAAAAACACAAAUAACAAUCAAUCAAACACACCAAACAAAACAAUCCAAAAUUCAGUGUUCAGUCAGAUUAUACAGUCCAAAAUAAAUAAAAAUACAAAAAAAACAAAUCCUAUCUAACCUACACUAAUUCUAACUAUGUUCCCGUGCUUUACCCGAUGCCUCAGGCCUUCAUCACGAACGUCUUCCGCCAACAUAGUGCGUCCGGGAAUUCCCCGGUGAAUAAAUACAAUGUGUCUCGGAAAAUUCCCCGGCUAAAUGAAUACAUUUGAAUUAAAUACGAUAAACUAGAAAGAAACAUUCACACACACAUUCCAACAUUCAACCAAAACAACUAGUUCUAAAAUUUGCCUACCCGAACCUAUAUUGCCUAUCCUUUUCAACACAUCAUAGAUCUAUCACGAUUCAUAUCAACAAUAAAUCAAAAUUAAAUCGAAUCUAUCCUUUUUUUCAAUUUUCAAUUCUCACCCUCAAAUUCCAUUUUAACAUCACAUGAUUAACCAAUUUCGAUGAAGGAUCAACAAAUCGAUAUGAACAAUCAUUCAUGGUGAUAAAAAAUACAUCAACAAAACAAAAUCCACACCUAAUGAAUUCAACAAGAAAAAAUAUCAAACAAUUAGAAUUGGACCUUAAUGUCGCUUUCGAUAUAUCGGAGACAACACCGUGUCCGAAACCCCCGAUACGAACCUCAAUCAUAAACUAAUUUCCAACCUCGAUAGACCCAUUUCGGAUUUCUAAACUCUGGAUCAAUUUUUUGAUGGGAUUUAACUGAAAACAGGAAGAGAGUAACUGUGAUGUGAUUUCAGAUUGGAAUGGAGUCGGUAGUACUAUUUUCAGUUGAGUUUUGAACUUUCGAUGAGAUUUAACUAAAAAAUGGGUCGGAUUUCAUCUUUUUUGCUUGAUCUCUCUCGCUUGGUUCCUCUCUUACUUCUUUUUCUCUCCCUCACGAUCUCGAUCUCACUGCAUGUGUAUGUGAAUGGUAGUGGUCAAUGAUGUGCGCCUGAAAGAAAAAAAAUCAAGAUCGUGCUUUUUCUUUUUCAUUUUUAUUUUGUGAUUUUCUCCUCCCUCCCUCUCUCGACAAUGGAACCCGUAUGGUGUAUGUAUGUGCUGGUCAGUAUGUUGUGAAGAUCCAAAAAAGGAAAAGAUGAAGAUGGUCCCAAAAUUCCCCCCUUUUCGUGUGUAUGAGAUGUGUAUAUCGUGUGAUCUUAAGUGUGUGCGCGUGGAGGUCUGCCUGUUGAGGAGGAAAAAAAGGGAUUUCCCUCCUUUUGCCUAAUUCUCCCAGAUCUGUGUGUAUAUGUCUGUGUAGGUGAGUGGAGAUGGUCUCUGUAUGUAUGAAUAUAAAAAAAAGGAAGAUCCUUCUGUUGUGAGUGCUAAAAAUAAAUAUUGUUACUCCUGUGGGCCCCUUCUAUUAUUGGAAUAUAGUGUAUUGUCAAGGUUGGUGAAGAAUUGUUCCUCAAGACUAUUCUAUGGGCCCUUCUCCUUUUGUUAUGGUGUGAUAUUUAUUUGGUUAUAGGUUUGUCACCAAGAGAAAAAAAAAGUAAAGGGGUACAUGGGGUAUGGUGUGGUUAGGGAUUUGUUAUUUUUUGUCAUUUUAUAGAGGGAUGAUUACAUGGAUGAGGGUACAUGAUAAGACGAGAUAAAAAUGGUAAAAAUGCUUUCGGGGAGGGACAAAAUUAGGUGUCUACAUCAUGCCCCCUGUGAAUGUAAACACAAAGUGUUUUCAGACAAAGAAGUAGACAGCAAGUCAAAAUUUUGAACCGACCAUUAUUCAAAGAGAGAAACAGAAGAAAGAAGGACAACCGGGUCUUGACUUAAGACAUCUUACCUACCCAAGUUGUGAGGGAGUCAUGUCACGGGUAUUUCAAAGGAUUUGAAAGAAAAAGGACAAUACCUAGGUGGAGAGUCGAGUGAGGUUCCAUCGAGGUUCCGGUCCGCAGCUCUGUCAUUACAUCAAAAAUAAAAAUUUCAAUUUAAAAACAUAAAUGAAAUUACAACAACCUAUCUACGCAGCUUAUUUUGGAAUCUUGACUUGAGUUUCAUCACCCUAUUCUUCAGGCGGUCUGCUUCUUCAACUUGUUUUUUAACUUUCCAUUUAUUCACCCUAUGCUUCAGGAGGGCUACUGACUUGCCAUUUCAUCACCCUGUUCUUCAGGCGGGCUCCUGACUUGCAAUUUCCUCAACUUGUUGUUUGACUUUCAAUUGUUUCACCUCAUUGCUUAACUUUCAAUUUCUUUACCCUAUUCUUCAGGCGGGCUCCUGACUUGCUAUUUUUCAAUCUGUUAACUUUCAACUUUUCACCUUGUUGCUUGAAUUUCAACUUCUUCACUUUGUUGCUUGAGUUUUCAUUUCUUUACCCUGUUCUCCAGAUGGGCUCCUGACUUGCAAUUUCUUCAACUUGUUUCUGUGCUUUUCAAUUUCUACACCCUGUUCUCCAGCCGGGUUCCUGACUUGCUAUUUCAUCAAUUGUUGCUAUGCUUUCAAUUUCUUCUCCCUGUUCUGCAGGAGGGCUCCUGACUUGUUAUUUUUCAAUCUGUUUAACUUUCAAUUUUUUCACCUUGUUGCUUGGUUUUCCAUUUAUCGCCCUGUGCUUCGGGCAUGCUCCUGAAAUUACAUCAAAACUGAAAAAAAAUUAUCCUAAACAAAGAAAUGCAUUUUCUAUAAGUUAAUUGGAAUGAAUCGACUAAAAGGUACGUCUUAUAGGAAUCAGAGAGAAUAAUUCGACUAAAAGGUAUGUCUUAUAGGAAUCAAAUGGAAAUGACUCAACUAAAAGGUAUGUCUUAUAGGAAUCAAAGGGAAUGACUCGACUAAAAGGUAUGUCUUAUAGGAAUCAAGGGAGAUAACUCAACUAAAAGGUACGUCUUAUCGGAAUCAAGGGGAUGAUUUGACUAAAAGGUACAUCUUCUAGGGGUCAAAGGGAAUGACUCUACUAAAAGAUACGUUUUAUAGGAAUCAAAGGGAAUGACUCAACUAAAAGGUACGUCUUAUAGGAAUCAAAGGAGAUGAUUCGACUAAAAGGUACGUCUUUUAGGGGUCAAACGAAAUGACUCGACUAAAAGGUACGUCUUCUAGGGGUCAAAGGGAUGACUCGACUAAAAGGUACGUCUUCUAGGGGUUAAAGGGAUUGACUCGACUAAAAGGUACGUAUUAUAGGAAUCAUAGGGAAUGACUCAACUAAAAGGUACGUCUUAUAGGAAUCCAGGGAAAUGACUCGACUAAAAGGUACAUCUUAUAGGAAUCAAAGGGAAUGACUCGACUAAAAGGUACGUCUUAUAGGAAUCAUAGGGAAUGACUCAACUAAAAGGUACGUCUUAUAGGAAUCAAGGGGAUGAUUUGACUAAAAGGUACGUCUUCUAGGGGUCAAAGGGAAUGACUCGACUAAAAGGUACGUCUUAUAGGAAUCAAAGGGAAUGACUCGACUAAAAGGUACAUCUUCUAGGGGUCAAAGGGAAUGACUUAACUAAAAGGUACGUCUUAUAGGAAUCAAGGGAGAUGACUCAACUAAAAGGUACGUCUUAUAGGAAUCAAGGGGAUGAUUCGACUAAAAGGUAUGUUUUCUAGGGGUCAAAGGGAAUGACUCGACUAAAAGGUACGUCUUAUAGGAAUCAAAGGGAAUGACUCGACUAAAAGGUACGUUUUAUAGGAAUCAAAGGAGAUGAUUUGACUAAAAGGUACGUCUUUUAGGGGUCAAAGGGACUGACUUGACUAAAAGGUACGUCUUAUAGGAAUCAAAGGGAAUGACUCGACUAAAAGGUACGUCUUAUAAGAAUCAAGGGGGAUACUCGACUAAAAGGUACGUCUUAUAGGAAUCAAGGGGGAUGACUCCACUAAAAGGCACGUCUUCUAGGGGUCAAAGGGAAUGACUCGACUAAAAGGUACGUCUUAAGUGAAUCAAAGGGAAUGACUCAACUAAAAGGUACGUCUUAUAGGAAUCAAAGGAGAUGACUCGGCUAAAAGGUACGUCUUAUAGGAAUCAAAGGGAAUGACUCGACUAAAAGGUACGUAUUCCAAGAGUCAACGGGAAUGACUCUACUAGAGGGUACAUUUUCUAGGAGUGAAGGUUCAAUUUAAGAAGUGUAUCACCCACCAAAUGAAAACUGAAAUCCUUGGACAAGAAAGUGUGCCUCCGAGGGAUAUAAGAUGAUGAAUUUCACCAUGAUUUGAUUACCAAACCUGUGCAUCAAUAUUGCUUCGUGCAUUUGUAAAAGUGAGGCAUUGCAGGCCUUGAUAUUUAUGCUUGAUGUCCUUGCUUUGAAGGUAAUAUGUUUCCUGUUUCAUCAAAGAAAACUUGUGAGUUAAAAAAAACAUGGUGGCUGGCUUGUGGCUUUAGCUUUCGCGGCAAUCGCUCUUGCUUCAGUCAUAUUUAACCUUGUUUCCAACCACUAACAUAUGUCAUUGAAUUGUUGCAUUAGUUAUCCAAACUCAUAUUAGGAAGAGUGACUCUGCCACAAACAUAAUAUCUCUUCUUUGCUAUGUUUCUCAGUUAAACCCUUUGAACUAUGGUAUUUAUGUGGGUUCCCAGACUUAUCUGUUGACAAAACUUUCUGCAUACCCUUUUUUUUGCUCACAAUCAUGCCUCUUUCAUGUGCUAGAUUUUGUCUUGCUUUAUGAAAUUAAAGAAGCUGGUAGCCAAUUUUGAAAUCUUUUCUCACUUGUUUUGACACGGACUUGACUCAAAAACAAGAAACGAAAAAAAAGAACGAUAUUUUUUGUCUGGAUAACUGACUCAAGAAAGAUAAAAUAAAAAUAAAGAGAAGAAAGAAAAGACAAUGAAUGUCCCAUUUUGAAACAAAAAAACAAAAAAGUCAUCUAAAAAUGACAGUCGACACUAAUGAUUAUGCCAUGCAUUUUGGAUUAAGUAGCUUGAUCUUUUCAUCCAAACUUUCUACCCAUUGUUGUUGAGUUAAUGGACUUGAAACUGAGUUGCUUCAAUUGCAUUUAAGACCCCAUUUGGCUAGUGGUGCCUUGAAGGAUUUUUGCCCACAAGCUUCUCUUAUUUUCUUUUCCUCAGCUCACCAUUGCCUUAUGGUGUCUGUAAGGGUUUUCCACUAAUGAGAUUCUCUUAUCUUCGUUUCCCUUAUCUCACAGUCGUCUUACGGUGCCCGUGAGAGUUUUCACCGAUAAGACUCUCUCAUUUUUAUCUCUCUCAACUUACCAUCAUCUUACAGUGCCCAUGAGGGCUUUCACCAAUAAGACUCUCUCAUUUUUAUUUCUCUCCUAAUUUCUUAUGCUGAGGAAGACAAGUAGUUCCUAAAUGCAUCAUCAUAUCCCUUGCAUGCUUAGCCUUAACAUCCUCAAAGAUUGAUCUAAAAGUCUUUCUUUGGUUGUAACUUGGCUUUUGGAUAGGGUUAGAAAGAAAGGAUGGCAUGGGGCCUAAACAACACUUGAAGUGGGGUAGGACUUAUAACUUUUGGAAUUGAAUCAAACAAUGAGGAUUAAAUCAUGCCCUAGUUUCUUUUGACUGGGCAAUUCUAAAUUAUUUAUUUGGUUGGAUCGAGCCCUGAGUAGAACAACCUACGUAUCUCACCUUCGAAAGAGGAGAAUCAGGUCACACAUAGUUUUGGCAGCUUGUUCUUUUACUUGAUUCUAAUUUUUGUUUCUUCUUCUCCUUUUUUUUCUUUUCUCUUUGGGAUUUUUUUAUGACCAUAUUUUUGAUAUUCUUCUCUUUUCUUUCCUUUUGGACACAUUUUUUCUCUCGACACUUUUCUUUUGAGUUUUACUGACUCUAUCUUGAUUCUAAAAGAGGUGUAUGAAAGAAAAUAGGACUAAAGCUCAAAUGGGAUAAACAAAGGAUGACACAAUAUUUGAAUAGCAGAAUAAAAUGCCUUCAUCAUAUCAAUCCUUAAAAAUGCAAGUACAUAUCAUGCAAUAUGAAAGUGAAAGAUGAAGAUCAUUUGUGACAUCUUUUGCAGCAUUAAAUCUGACUAAGUUUGUACGUCACUAUUUCUUUUGUGCUUUUCUAGCAUACAACUCCACUUUUGUUGCAUAUUCCUCACAUUGAAUGACUUAUGAUUUUGUGGAGCUGAUUUUCGUUCUGUUCACGCAACUACUAUUUAACCUAAUUGAGACAUGUCUUUCAAUUGAUGACCACGUUAUUCUUGUGAUUAUCAAAAUAAGUGCCUUAAUUUUCAAAGAAGGCUUCAACUUGUCACCAAAUAUCUCAAUACUCUACCUAUUUCCUCAGAUGUUCUCUUUUACUAACUUAAACCUCUGAUUCAAUGUCUCAUGGUUAAAUUAGAUUUUAAGAUCUGACCAAAAAUUCCGCUAGCAUGUCAUAUCACUAGAAUCAACAUAAAAUGCACUAUGUGAAGAAAACAAACAAACAACACAUAUUUAAAACACAAAGAAAAAAAAGAACACUUCAGUUAGUUGAAAUAAAAGAGAAAGGGGUUUGAACAUAAACGACAAAGGGACAAAAUAAGAUGGAUCCCGAACUACAAACCUGAAAUAAUUCAAAAAAUAAAAAACAAAACAAAACAAACUAUCAAACCUCUUCCUAGUAGGGAGAGAGGUGACUUCUCAAUUGCUCAACCUGACAACUUAGCCACUGAUUUGCAUAUCAGCAUGACUAGAUCUUCCCACACUGUCAAUGUUCUGCACCAUAUUGAGCAUUAGAAUGAUAUGCACAUCGUGCAUUAUGAUUAAAAUUUCUUGAACGGGGAUUAAGAGUGUGCCUAAGGAGAGGAGUGAUCAUGCGCCAUUGUACUAAUCUCUGAAAUAAGCUAGCAUAUAACUGUCCAAUUGGUGUGAAGCUAUCCCUCGAUUUUUGCCUCAUUUCAUUGUUUGGCUUGAAUCCAAAAUCGGGCCUAGAAUGGCUUUGGUAGGUUUGUGGAGUCAGAGGGUGACUUUGAGGAGUUGGUGCACACCAUUGUAAGUAAGGAGGGAGUUGAAAAUAUGGUUAUGCGCAAUAUACUAGAUAUGGAGGUGGGGAAAUGGAGUAUAAUGGAUUUUGGGAGGGAUUAUAGAGAGCUUGGGUAUGAACUUGGGCAUGAGACUGACGGCAAUGACGACGUCAUCUUCUUGGAUGUGCUCGUUCUCUAACUACAAUAGCAGUAUCAUCUUUCUCAUUCUUCUUCCCUCUAGGUUCCCUUAAUUGAUUGCAAUAUUGUCCCAAAUGUUUCACAAAUUCCUCAUGUCCAUCUUGCUCGUCAAAUUUUGACAUCUCAAAGAUUGGAGGAAGGUUAGCAUUUGAAGGCAUGCCCCAGUUUUUGUAUGAAACAUCUUCUUUACCUGCGGGUCCUAGAAAAUUUUUCAUAGCAUUUUCUGCACUCUUCAUUUUUCCAACAAUUUUCUUCGACUCUUCUGACACACUGGACUUUUUGUUAAGAAAUUUUGGUGGUCCAGUUAACUUUCAAAGCAGGCUCAGGAGUAUAAAAAUGAUCACCAAGAGUAUUGAAUAUAGGUUAAUUAGCAGCAUGAGGACGCACAACCGUUGGGAGAGCCAGUGUAAAAGUCCCAGUAGAUGAUUGAGCAACAAGAUCACAGACGACAUGUGGUGUUGUGAAUAUAGCAGGCUUAUGCUGAGGAGCUAGAGGAAAAGUGGUGGAAGUAUUGAGAUGCUUUUGGCUUGGAAUGAAUUCUGAGUCAUGUUGCGGUGUAUCAACAAUAGUAGCAAAUUGACUUUGAGAUUUUGGUGGAAAACUCGAGGUAUUUGUAGGAUCAAUAAAGGGAAAUGGAGGAGGAGGCAACCCACUGGCCCAAGCUCGAUGCAUUUCUAUCAUUUAUUGUCUUAGCCACCUAAUCUCUUACUUCAAACUCUCAUUUUCCUGAACCUUUGUUUGAUCCAUGAUGUCACUCUCUAUAUCUUUUUUGGACACAACUAACCCUUUGGAUUUGGUGCGAGGUGAAGGAUCAUCCAGAAUGCCAUAAACCAACCACCUUAAACUGACUCAACAAAAAACAACAAAUGUGUUAGAGUUCAACACUUUUUCAAAACCUCUUUUUUUUAAAAGAUCACUAAACCCAAGAAGGGCGCCUACGUAUCUCACUCCCGAAAGAGGAGAAUUAGGUGUGCGUAGUUCGUGAAGUCUUGCUAAAAUGGGCAAUUAAACUCAUUAAACUCUUUUUUUUCAUUCUUUUUCUUGAAACUUCAAAGAGAAGAAAAUAACAAAUUGUCAAAAGAAUUGACAAAAAUCUUUUUGUAUUUUUCAAGUUCAAAUCCUUAUACAAAAUGAAAUCUAUAAUUACCAAAGAAAAUCUUUUUGGGUUUUCAAUUUUGAAUUUCCUAUGAAAAUGGAACUUGAACCUAUUAAAGAAAAAUCUUUUUGUAGUUUUCUUUUAAAGAUGUAUAUGAAACACUUACUCUAAAUAAAGAGUGAAGAAAAUCUUUUUAGAUUUUUCAAAUAAGAUCCCCGAACCAACAAUAGGCUGCCUACGUAUCUCACUCCCGAGAGAGGGGUAUCAGGGGUGCAUAGUUCAUCCAGAUAGGACAAUUAAAGAUUAAAUAACCGACUGAACCCUGACUUGAGAGACGAAACUACAACGAUAAAAAUCUUUUUUGGGGUUUUCACUUUGACACUCUACAUAAAACUGACACCAACAACUAUGAAAGAAAAAUCUUUUUGGCAUUUUCAUGAAAUGUACAAAAAUCUUACAAUUUUUGCAUUUUUCUUUUAUAAAAAAUCCUAUGAAUGAAAAAUCUUUUUUGAAGUUUUUGAAUUGUGAAUACUUGCUAAAGGAAACAAAAGAAAAAUGUUUUUGAUGUUUUUGAUUUUGACAAAUGAGUGCAAAAGGUAAAGAUCUUUUCGAAUUUUUGGACUGUGAAGAACAAAAGCCAUAAAAAUAACUCUAAAAAACCUACGAAACUCUUUUUUGAUUCGCCUUUUUCUCUUUUUCCCUCUUUUUUUCUUUUUAAAAAAACUUUUCCUUACCUACACACUUCCUUUAAUUCUAGCACAUGCUUUUGCCCAAAUCAGUCCGUCAAAUGACCUCGUUACCCUCAAAGAUGCAACAUUUAGCAUGUAGGGAUGCCUUAGAGGUGAGUUUUCUACAAAGGACCAAGUGGGUUCUGCUAGGUCUCAAUAUGAUAUAGAUAAGCAUGACCUAAAGGCUGACCUACACUGGGUUCACUAACAAGGCUAUUCGAGGGAGCGUAUAGUCGAUAGUGGCUGCUUUAGCUUUCCACCCACUCCAUACUACCCUACGGCUCCCCCUCCUAAGAUAAAGGUGACUCAACUAGAGGUCGUUUACACAGCAUGUACUAUGAACUUAUUGCGGAAAGAAUGACUCGGGUUAUGCACAUGAUCCCAGAUAUAAAGCGGUAAAUCAUAAGAUAAAAACUGUAAUCAAAUAGCACGUAGGCACUCAACAAUGAAAAAACAAUAACCAAAAACAACACAAACAACGUCUAUACACCCAUAAUGCCAAACUAAGCUAAUACAACUCCAAAAAUAAGCUCGAAUUCUGAAAUGAUUCCCAAUAGAGUCACCAGAGCUGUCACACCCCUUUUUUUUUAACUCCAAAAGGAUUUUAAGUUUCGAAAGGAUUUUUAUUAUUAAAGUGACAAAAGUGAAGAUUUAUUUUGAAAAGGACUUUUUAUAUUCCAAACUCAGAGUUGCCGCUUGUCAUAGUCCGGUGUGCCAAGCCACCCUUAAAAAUCCUUUUCAAAAUGGUUUUGACUCUAUAACUGAUCCACAAACAGAGAUUCCAACUAAGGAAUUCUGUUGACCGAGGGGAAGGUGUUAGGCACCCCUCGAUCUAGUGAUUCGAUCAUGGUUGCUUGAUGGAGUGUAUCGGCUAAUUUGACAUUACAAAUGUAUAAACCACACAAAAACACACAAAAUAAUCAAUCAAACACACCAAACAAAAAAAAUCCAAAAUUCAGUGUUCAGUCCGAUUAUACAGUCCAAAAUAAAUAAAAAUGCAAAAAAAACAAAUCCUAUCUAACCUACACUAAUCCUAACUAUGCUCCCGUGCUUUACCCGAUGCCUCAGGCCUUCAUCACGAACGUCUUCGUCCAACAUAGUACGUCGGGGCAUUCCCCAGUGAAUAAAUACAAUGUGUCUCAGGAAAUUCACCGGCUAAAUGAAUACAUUUGAAUUAAAUACGAUAAACUAGAAAGAAACAUUCGCACGCACAUUCCAACAUUCAACCAAAACAACCAGUUCUAAAAUUUGCCUACCCGAACCUAUAUUGCGUAUCCGUUUUAACACAUCAUAAAUCUAUCACACUUCAUAUCAACAAUAAAUCAAAAUUAAACCAAAUCUAUCCUUUUUGCAAUUUUCAAUUCUCACCCCUAAAUUUCGUUUUAACAUCACAUGAUUAACCAAUUUUGAUGAAGGAUCAACAAAUCGAUAUCAACAAUCAUUCACGGUAAUAAAAAAUACAUCAACAAAACAAAAUCCACACGUAAUGAAUUCAACAAGCAAAAAUAUCAAACAAUUAGGAAUUAAUAGAGAACGAGAUGAAAAUUGGACCUUAAUAUUGCUUUCGAUAUAUCGGAGACAACACCGCGUCUGAAAACCCCCGAUACGAACCUCAAUCACGAACUAACUUCCAACCUCGAUAGACCCAUUUCAUAUUUCUAAGCUCUGAAUCUAUUUUUUAUGGGAUUUAGAUGAAAAUAGGAAGAGAGUAACUGUUGACGUGAUUUUGGAUCAGAAUGGAGUCGGUAGUACUUUUUUCGAUUGAGUUUUGAACUUCCGAUGAGAUUUAACUAAAAAAUGGGUCAGAUUUCAUCUUUUUUUCUCGAUCUCUCUUGCUUGGUUCCUCUCUUACCUCUCUUUCUCUCCCUCAUGAUCUCGAUCUCACUACAUAUGUAUGUGAAUGAUAGUGGUUAGUGAUGUGCGCAUGAAAGAAAAAAAUCAAGAUCGUGCUUCUUCUUUUUCGUUUUUUUUUGAGAUUUUCUCCUCCAUCCUUCUCUCAAAAAUGAAACUCAUAUGGUGUAUGCAUGUGCUGGUCAGUAUGUUGUGAAGAUCAAAAAAAGGAAAAGAUGAAGAUGGUCCCCAAAAUUCCCCUCUUUUUGUGUGUAUGAGAUGUGUAUAUUGUGAGAGCUUGUGUGUGUGCGCGUGGAGGUCUGCAUGUUGAUGAUGAAAAAAUGGAGUUUCCUCCUUUAGCCUAAUUCUCCCAGAUCUGUGCGUAUAUGUCUGUGUAGGUGAGUGGAGAUGGUCUCUGUGUGUAUGAAUAUAAAAAAAAGGAAGAUCCUUAUGUUGUGAGUGCUAAAAAUAAAUAUUGUUACUCUUGUAGGCCCCUUCUAUUAUUGGAAUAUAGUGUAUUGUCAAGGUUGGCGAAGAAUUAUUCCUCAAGACUAUUCUGUGGGCCCUUCUCCUUUUGUUAUGGUGUGAUAUUUAUUUGGUUAUGGGUUUGUCACCAAUAGAAAAAAAAGAGUAAAGGGGUACGUGGGGUAUGAUGUGGUUAGGGAUUUGUUAUUUUUUGUUAUUUUAUAGAGGGAUGAUUUCAUGGUUGAGGGUACAUGAUAAGACGAGAUAAAAAUGGUAAAAAUGCUUUUGGGGAGGGACAAAAUUAGGUGUCUACAGUAUUUAAUACCCAAAAUCUAGCUCUUUACUUAGAAUUUCAGUAGCUAUAGAAUAGUCUUAGUGAUGUCACGUACAGUAGUACUCAGCCAGUUACAGAACUCAGUGUAUUCAACCAGUUAAUAGAACUCAGUGAAUUCAGUCUAGUUCAGUCAGUUAGCACGAUCAGUAAUAGCUCAGUCUAGCCUAGUACAGUCUAGAAAUCAGUUUAAUAUCUAUUUCAGUUGGGAGUAGGAUUCAGCACUGAGUGAACCCAAGGUUGGGGACUCACCUGCCAGUAGAGGGUGUAAUCUUUUGAAGCUGUUCUUACGUUCUAGAAAUACGUAGCCAGCGUAGGUUGAGACAUCAAUCUGCCAAUUGAGGGUUGAUGAGAUGUCUUACCUUCCAGUUGAGGGUACCACCAUUCUUAUUCAGAGCACCCUCUAGAUGAGGGUGACUCAGUAGCUUGUCUUUACCCGUAGCACGAUACUGACACCCAUCCAACUGGGGCUAUAGGUUGGACCCCAAUCAGUUCAGUUAGAUAAUUACCACCCAUAUUUUCAGUCUCAGUAUAGAACCCAUUUUAGUUCUACAGCACCAGGACUAUUAGAAACAGUCACCCAGUUUAGUAUAGAACUUAGUUAAGGUCUACAGAAUCAAGACUGUCAGAAGCAGUCACCUAGCUAAUAGUAAUACAGUUAUCAGUAAACUCAGAUAUUAGUCAAUCAGUUAUUAGAACUCAGUACCCAGUGUUUAUAUGAUUUCAGUUAUAGUAUACGUAGUUAUGUUCAUAGUAUUGCAUAAUCAGUAUUUACAACAGUUUCAUAUAUACAUGUACUCUCAUUCAAUUAUAUUUAUGUUACUCAACCAGUAUUGUUCAUGCAUAUAAACCCAUGCAUUCAAACUUACCUCACUUAGCAUACCAGUACAUUCAAAGUAUUGACAUAUACCUUUCUUUUGUGCUAUGAUGUCUUAUAUCAUAGGUUAAGAUGCAUGGGCUCCUGAUCGCACUUAGUAGCCCAGCUUAUUAGCAACAGACUUAGUGGUGAGUCCUCAUAGUUUGGGAACAGAGUUGUUAUUUCAGUAUUUUUCCAGUAGCAGGAGUUAGUUGGGGGCUUGUCCUAUCAACUCCAUCUUCAGACAGUUAGAGGCUUUCAGACUAGAUUAUGUCAAACAGAUGAUCAACUUUCAGUAUUUGAUUUUUGUUAUGAACCUUAUGUUAGUUCCAGCCUAAUUUUUGCAUUAUUACAGUAUUGUUACUCAAUUAUUGCAGCAGGUGCCAGUCAUGGGUUAGCUUGUGGUCCUUCGAGAUUAUGAGCUGUGACGUCUAGGGUGCAGACUCGGGGUGUUACAGCCUUUUUCUUCUGUUAAACCUGUAAUUAUUUCCUAUUUCUUUUCUUUGUUUUUUAGUUUCUUGAUUUCUUCUACUUUGAUGUUGUGUUCCAUUUUGUCCUUUUUUUGUGCAAGUUGAUGCCUAGGAAGCUUCACCAGAAAGAUUUACCUUUAUGCCAUUUGUUUUUCUGAUUUUAUUUCUUACUUGAAACUGCUAUCUGUUAGCUCACUGCUAGAAACAGAGGUUUCCCACCUUGAAUCACUGAGAAAUUUGUGUUCUAUAACAUUAUUUUCCUACCUAUUUACCACCGAAUCAACUCUCUGGAAAGCCUAUGGUGGAAAGAAGAUUUUCAUUAAAAUACUAGAAAUAUUUCUAAUUUUUUUGUGUGAAAAUACUAUUAUGUUUUCUUUUCUCACUGAUUCAAUCAAAAUAUCUAUGGAAAUAGCCAAUGAACAUUUUUCAAUGGGAAAUCUCAAGGGAGAACAAUGAUUGUUUUAGUAGUGUUUCUGCCGUUUGUUCUUAUGAAAUUGUUUCUCACUUGAAACUGACAUCUGUAAGUUCCACCUUAUUUAUGAGAUUUAAAAAAAUACAUAGAAAAAUGUUUGCUUAUGUGCUUUGUUUAUGGAAAGUUCAAUUCUUAUGGUGUAAGAUCAGUAGUAAAUAAAGGGUACUAGAUUUUUGUUUCUGCUUUUGAUUGUGUAAAUUGGUAUGUAGGGAUUAAAAAGUGACUUCUCUCGAAUUUGAUUUUCUCUCAAUGUAAAUAUGUGAUUCCUAUAAAUGACUUUCAUUAUUAAAAUGUUGUACAUAGAUGCACCUAAGAUGUUUGGUAAAAUGAAUAAGUUCCUUUUAUGUCCUUAGCAGUUAUUGUUAUUUUGUGAAGAAAUAUUUUGUAGUGUUCAGAUGUUAAUAUAGUAAUUACGUUUCAUGAAGGUGUACAUGAUUUCACCCUAUAAUUGUGUUGUUAGCUUAAAGUAACUUUUGUAUCACAGGAUAGCAAUUAGAACAAAGUCCUUUUAUGUCCUCGACAUUUAUGAUUAUUUUUGGAAAGAAAUGUCCUAUAAUGUUCUUCUAUAAUUUAGUAGUUGCAUUUCAUACUUUCUAUGGCGUUAGCGUUAUUACUUCAUCAUUUCCACGCUUUGGUUAUUUCUUCUAUUGAGACAAGAAGGAAAAAAGAGUCCUGAUAUACCUUUUUCUUUUCUUGGUAUGUUUAUCCUUGAUCUAACAUUACGUAACUCAACCGGCUUGGUUUAGGCAACUCCCAAGUGGGGUGUUGGAUUCUUUUUCUCCUAACCAGGUUAUGCAAUGCCAGUUAGAAGAGGACUGUAGUACUCUCGUGAUACUUCUGCCACCAACGGAAGUUGCUCUGCCGAACUAGAGUAGUUGUGAUUCUUUACCAACAAAGUCUAGGAUGGUGAUAGUAUUAUUGGUAUGGUUAGGUGCAAAGAAAUAAUAUCUAAAGAGAUACACUGAUUGGUAUUCAUCAAUAGGAUAUCAUGUCAUUAUGUUUACUUUCCUAAUGUCUGGGAUUCUAAGCUAUCAAGUUGGGGGAAAGGCGAAAGAGGAUAUUGAACUGCUUGUGAAUCAUCUUGUUGAUUGGUUGGAAGAAAAUCAUGCAAAGAGCUUGGUCUUCCACACUUUCAGUAAUACUAGUUGGUUAACGUGAGUUCUUUAGAAAGGCAAUUGAAACCCAAGUAUAUUACACUUUUCUCAAAACUUGCCUGCUAAUUACUGAUUGAGUUCUUUUAUUCUUGGCCUUACAGUUAUGGUGUCAGUCUGAAAAGGUUUCAGAAAUAAGAUCACAGUUUAAUGAGAAGGAUCAAAGGUUGACUCUGCCUCUUUCACACCUCCGGAACCAUAGGUAUUGCUGUCUCAGAAAUUGUAAUAAUAAGAUCUCUUCUGUUUUAUGUGCUAGUGUCAAAAGAGUGCUUCUUUUAGAGUAGCCUUAUCUCUGAAGGUUAAUGCAGAUCAAUUGUUAAAAAACCAUAUAUUUCUAUUGAAAUCCAACCAUAUCAUGUUUUUAUUGGAUAAUUAUUAGAAGUGCUAUACAUAGUCAUGGUUUAGCCAUUCCGAACUGCUUGGUUAUUUAUACUCUAAUCAGGACCUGUUGUUCUCUUAUUUGAUCAUGCUGCUUUCGUCUAUCCUGGGCCUUAACCAUACAACUCACUUUUCAAAAAAUAUUCUUCUACUUGAUAAUGUGGAAGUUGUUUAUUGUUGAUUUAGUCUUUGAGGGAAGGUUUGUAUCUUUGUGGGUUUCUUUAAAAUCAAUUAUUUUGGUCUGCAAUUGACAUAUUGGCUUCAUUCCUAUGGGUUUCCUUAAAAUCAAUUAUUUUGGUCUGCAACUGAUAUACUGGCUUCAUUCCUUCAACUAUAUGCAGAACAAAUUUCACUCUUAGAUAUAUUAUUGUAGCACCCCGUAUUUUUCUAGCUUAAAUUCGUUCCUAGAAUGUUAAGGGAUAGCUUUCAAAAUAAAUAAUAUUUAUUCUACGUGAAAUUUUCAAGAUUUCAACUUUUCAUUAUGUGGGAAAUUGAAUAAGCUUUUCAUCGAUACCAAAUUUGCCCAAUUCCGACACUCGGUGAGGAAGUUAGAGCAUUUUUAGUAAAACAGUGUGCCACCUGGACUCUCAAGGGGUCAAGGUGUCAAUUCCAGUGGACCUUCGCGAUAUCGGCGCAUCGAGGAGAGGUCCAAAUUCCUAUUUGUCAAAAUCCAGUAGACCAACGCGAUGUUGGUGCGUCGCGCUAGUGGCCAAAAUGGAAAAAAUCAUAGGGCAUCGCAAUAGCUCUGUGUCGCAGAGAAAGCCCUGUUCCCGUUCGUCCUUUUUCCAGUGAGCCACUGCGAUAGUGGCGCGUUGCGGUGGUCCAGUAAAUCUAGAUUUUUUUCCAUUUUUCUAGUUCCAUUUGGGAGUUUAAAAAGGAUAUUUUGGUCAAUAUCCAAGCCUCCAAUCGGUCCAAACAUAAGAUUUAGGCCUAUUCUAAGCACUUUGGGUUUAUAUUCAUCAAUUUUCUCUUAAACAAAACCCUAGAGUUCAAAUAUCCUUCUCCAAGAAAUCAAAUUCCACCAUGGUUUCUCCAAGAAAGCUUAAGAUUGAGGAUUCCCAAGGCAAAAUAAUCAAGGAUACAUCUUCAAGAACUCAAAUAGGAAUCAAUAGAUCAAGUUUCUUCAUCUAAUCUUCAAUCAAGGUAUGUUGGGUUAUGAACAAGGACAAUCCUUUCAUCCUUGUGCCAAAAACCAAGCUUUUACAUUAAAUUCAUAUGGUUUUGAAUGAUAUUACAUGAGUUUUGAAUUAGGGUUCAUACGCAUUAUUGCUAUUUACAAAGUUAUGAGUUUUUGAGAUAUUUUAAGGAUGAUUUGCAUGUCUAUUUACAUAUUUCCAAGCCUAUUGCAGUAAAUUACAGAUUUUGAGAUGAAUUAUCAUUGUUUUCAUUAUCAAGCAUGAUUACUAUGAUGGUUUGACAUGAGAUUUAAAGCAUGGGUUAUUAGCCCAAGAAUGAAUACUAUUAUUUCAAGAAAGAUGAUACUGUGAGCAUCCAAUUAUCAGAUUAUUUACAAAUUUUCAAAAAAAGCAUUGAUAUUUUGAUCCUCAAUUUAGCUAUGGAAUCCACUUUACAGAUUACAGAACUCAGAAUAGCUUUAAUUAUAGAUUUACUCAGAUGAUUGCAUAAUUAGUUUUUGAUAAACCCUUAUGCUAGUUUUAAAGUGAAUUUCCAAUAGAAUGAGCGUAGAAAAUAAAAAGGAAAUAGUAUUUAGCACCGAGCGUGAAGUGUGGGUUUAGAGCAUCCUACUUCCAUAGAACUACAUAGCUAACGUAGGUACAGAUUAUCGGAUUAUUUCCAUUUCUAUAUAGAUGACAGAUUUAGCUUGUGAUCGAUCACAUGGGUAGGUUAUACUCCCUGGAAAGAGUAUGACACCUCUCCCCAACGUGAGGUUUCUUUCUUAGGAGGAAGAGACGUUGGACUCCAUAUUGCUCGCAUGGUUUAUGUCGAUUAAGAGAACCUCCCUUAAGAUGAAAUGUUUUUUCUUAAAGCUUUGAAAGAUUUUUCCCUAAUCCCUACAACUUAAUAGUAAAGAUUUCAGAAUAAGUUUUAAAGUAUAUCCCUUCAGAUAAAGUGUUUUUCCUUAAAGUUUUAAAGCUUACAGACUACAGAUUCUAGAACAGAAAGAGUAACAGAAAAGCUUUUAGAAAAACUAAGUGUUAAGGCUCACAAGUUUUACUCAGAUAAUGCUUUAUAGAAAGAUAUUAGCUACACUUUUCAGCUUUCAGUUUUCAGACUUUAUCAGAAUGUAAAAGUUUUAUCAGUAUUGUAUUUUCAUAGAUUCCACCAUUAUUAUGUUUCCGCACAGUAAACUCGGUCAUUUUAUGCAUUUUAUUCAGUUGCUUAAUAGUAUGCCAGUUCAUGGGUUAGCUUGGGAUCACUUGUGGUCCUAAGCAUCGUGUGUCGUCUCGGGAUAGAUUUUUGGGGCGUUAUAAUUAUCUUCCUCUUUUGAAUACAGGUGCCCAUCGUGUUGGAUAUUAGUUGUGGAUUUGGUAGCUUUUGUGCCCGCCUACUCUCACUAAAGUUGAUAGCUAAAAUACCUGAAGUGUGAUGUGUUGUAAAUAACCAAAUAAUGUAAGGAUCCUUUUUUGAGUAUCUAUGAUUUGAUAAGUAAUAAAUUUCUAUAUAGUUAUAAUGAAAUCACUGAAUCUCCUAGAAGAAUACUCCAGCUAUACAUGAUAUUAGAACAAAUGUUGAAAGAGAAGAUUGCAGUAAAAGAUCAAGGAAUUAUUUUCAUCUCAUCUUAGAUUCCAAUGGUUGAUCUGCAUAUAUCAUGUGCAGAUACACUUAUGCAACCCCAUAUUAUCUUGGGCUUAAUAAGAUGUUAUGCAAGAGACAAGAAUGGAAGCAAAACACAUUGCAGUUAUUUUGAUCACAUUUUCAAGCUUAAUGUGUGUACAUUUUUGGACACAUUUUUCGGGCAAUGGAAAGCUUUCAAGAGAAGAUUUACGUCGCUCUUCUUUGUUACUGUUGUAUGAUACUUCCUCCAUUCCACAAUAAUUAAAUUGUUGGAAUAUGACACACAUGUUAAGAAAAAAAAUAAAGACAUAAAUUAGACAUGUUUUUCCACUUUUAUCCUUUUGUAGAAUGAAUAUUCUUUUUUUGUUCUCAUAUUUGUUGGCAUACUUAGUUUCAAUAUUACGAAGAAAAGAUGCAAUAUCGAUAUAUUUGCUCCUCUACAGUUUAACAAUUUUCCUUUGGUCUUUUUUCUAGACCUAAAAAUCCUCCAAAAACAUACAUGUUUGGUCCAAAGUACAAGUAGCCUAUGUCUUUCACAAAAUACAUCUCUGUGUCUUUUUUGAUAUCCUUAAUAGCUUAAUUUAUCGUGUCUUAAAUAAACCAGCGAUCUCCUACUUUGACAUUGUAAAAUCAUAUGGGUCUAUGUCAUGAUGCGGGAAGAACGAGAAGAAUAAUGAGUAAGAAAAUAAAUGCUAUAGGAACCGAAAAAUGACAGUUUAGAGAAGAGACAUGAACAAAAGCUUAGAUAGCUUGCUGAUUUAGACAAAUUAGCAACAUUGAAUAAGAUUAAUAGUAGUAUCUGGUGAAGCAGCCAUUUGCAAAGCUAAUUCCAGGAUAGGAUCUUCGAUUUAAUAAUCUCUAUUAUAGUGUCAUAGAUAAAGUCAAAAAA
rnacentral:lncRNA from 1 species